rnacentral:lncRNA from 1 species
GCGCUUCAGGUACAUUUUUCUGCCUUCUAUUGAAAUAUGACACACGUACAUUUUUCUGCCUUCUAUUAAAAUAUAUACAGCAACAAGUUACAAGUCUACUCUCCAGUUUAUCAAGGGAUUCAAAGUGGGAUCAGUCCCUUUCAUAUAGCUAUAUAAUGAAGGCAGAUUGAUGGUGAUAGUGUUCUCCCUGACAGUGCACAACCCUAGAUGGGUACCAGGUGAAUCAACAACACUAUCAGAAUAAGAAACUAACUAUCAUUGGUGCAACAGCAUGUCAACAAGGUGACCAUCAGCAACACAGUCACUCCAGCAUCCGCAGACUUCACCUUCCAACCAGGAGAUUGUCUUUGUCCCCAUCAUUCUGUAUUCCGGCCCAAACAGGAAGGGAAGCACACAUUUAACAAAUUAGAUCAACAAGGGCUGAUAUAACUUAUUAUUACGAGUUUUCCACAACACCCAGCAAAAGGCUGCAAUGCCCACCACAUGACAGUUAGGGCCUAGCGGCUAGCAGAAUGUUCUUCGCUGCCCACCAGAAGUACUGUGUAAAACAAACACGUCUAUAAAAAAAAUACCCAGAGCACGGCAAAUAAUGCUCCACAUAUAAACAGCAGCAGAACAAGUAAAGAUUUAACGAUGGAUGCCCUUAUUUUCAUCACAAAAUUGACAAGUGCAAUCACCAGUCCAUUUGCGUUUUCUCAUAUUAUCUUCCGUAGCAAUGGCAUUGUGCCAGAUCAGUCAUAACCAUACUUUGAUCUUAUAUUAAGAGGAAUCCUGGCUAUCCACAGAUGCUUGAAGGAUCUGUCCAGCCCCGGACUCGAUAAAGUAUUCUGAUGAUUGUGCCAGAUAUAUUUCAAUAAGGCAUUACAUCGAUACAUUAUGACUAGAAUAAUUUCACAGGAAGAAUAAUGAACUUUGUAAACUCAACCAAUCAAUAACCUCGAUUCGUGUAUAGGGUGAGGAGCCACCACUGAGAUGGUGAGAUUUGUUUCAAGGUUCGAUACGAAGUGGUAGUUUUGAUAAACAUUGAGGACAGUAAUCUCGAACAAAAUUACACCACCUGUGAUCGCUAAUCAGAUAUUCAGAUGAACAUAAACAGGGACGGCAGCAAGCAGAGUGACUCACUCAGUGGAUGGGCAUUCUCCAGUUCAGUUGCUGCCAACUUGUUCAGAUGUCGUAGCGGCGUUCUCAGCCACCGGCUCCGGCUCGUCGGCGGACAGGGGAGGCAUCUCGAAUCGGCAGACCGGGCAGAACCGGCUACNNNNNNNNNNNNNNNNNNNNNNNNNNNNNNNNNNNNNNNNNNNNNNNNNNNNNNNNNNNNNNNNNNNNNNNNNNNNNNNNNNNNNNNNNNNNNNNNNNNNNNNNNNNNNNNNNNNNNNNNNNNNNNNNNNNNNNNNNNNNNNNNNNNNNNNNNNNNNNNNNNNNNNNNNNNNNNNNNNNNNNNNNNNNNNNNNNNNNNNNNNNNNNNNNNNNNNNNNNNNNNNNNNNNNNNNNNNNNNNNNNNNNNNNNNNNNNNNNNNNNNNNNNNNNNNNNNNNNNNNNNNNNNNNNNNNNNNNNNNNNNNNNNNNNNNNNNNNNNNNNNNNNNNNNNNNNNNNNNNNNNNNNNNNNNNNNNNNNNNNNNNNNNNNNNNNNNNNNNNNNNNNNNNNNNNNNNNNNNNNNNNNNNNNNNNNNNNNNNNNNNNNNNNNNNNNNNNNNNNNNNNNNNNNNNNNNNNNNNNNNNNNNNNNNNNNNNNNNNNNNNNNNNNNNNNNNNNNNNNNNNNNNNNNNNNNNNNNNNNNNNNNNNNNNNNNNNNNNNNNNNNNNNNNNNNNNNNNNNNNNNNNNNNNNNNNNNNNNNNNNNNUUAAACAGGUCAGCAUCGAUUUUCAAGAUGUUAUCAUCACCCCCACACAAAGGAUCUCACUUUUACCAAAGUUUAUCUUGAGUCCAUACAUCAGCUCAAACAUAUAAAGCAGGCGCUUCAUUUUAACAGCUGCAUCAUAGCUUGGAGUACUUAUCUGUCAAGGUCUUCAGCUCUGCAUGUGUUGACACAAGGUCAUCAGGCGUCAGGUUGAGGAGAUUCUGCUGGAGGAAUUUCUCCUUCUUGAGCUUAGCCACCUUGGCCUGUUUAGCUUGCUGCUCCUUCCACUUGGCCUCGUUGAUGAAUAUAGCCACAAUGUGGCUGAUGCCAGGGGGAAGUUUCAAAUCAUCAAGUGGAGUAUUGGCGUCCUCAUACCAGAUAUUGAUGUAGUCGAGGAGGACUUUUGGGUCCAUGGCCAAAGGAAUGGAGCUGCCAGAAGCUUGAGCUACCCUCUCUUGCUUGUUUCUGAUCAUUGCUUGCAGAGUAUCAUCAUCAAAUUCAUCACUACCCUCUGAUGCAGAAGGGACGGUGAUGAUUUUGCUUGGGUUGGGUCUUGUUCCUCUCCCAGCAGUCACCUUAGUCUUCAGAGGAGUUGGUGAAGACUUUUUCUCCGAGCUUGUUGCAGCUGGGAGUGAGGAGCUGGAGGUAGCUGGCAGUGGCUUCACUACCUGCUUCUUUUCAGGUUUUGAAGCCUGUGGUGGUGCUCAGGGUUUUGGUGCCGAGGGUUUUGGUGCUGAUGGUUUUGGAGCUGAUGCUGGAGCUGGUUUCUCUUGAGGCUUUGAAGCCUUUGGUUUUGGUGGCACAGACUUUUGUUGAGGAAUUGUCGUACCAGAGGUCUCAGCAGCAAAGGAAGUAGCUGCAGUUGAUGCAACAGCAGAUGAUUCGUUGAAUUUCCUCAGAGCAGCCUCUGCCUACUUCUUGAGCUUUGCCAAGUGCUUUUCCUUUUCAUCAGGAUAGUCAUCAAGUGUCUUGAGGUUUGAGGGAUGUGCUUCUUGAUAAUACUCAAGUGGAGCCCGUUUGCCAGGAGGCUUCAGAGCGAAUUUCUUCGCAUAUUUGGGAGUGACAAAUCUGUACUCCUUCCACUCCUUAGCCCAUCGGCGUUCUAUCUUCUGAAGCCGAAUCUUUCUCUUGGGCAUAGUUUCAUUUUCAUCAGGAGUGCGGUAAUCCAGGUAUAGAUCCUCAGGGAUAUCUACGGCUGUAUUCUACUCAAGUUUCUUGCCUCCCUUUUGCUUCCUGUCAUCCUCCAUUUUCUUCAGCUAAGGAUUUUGCUGAUGACAUUGAACUCUUGAGGACUCUGAUGAGACUUGAAGAUUUUCUUCAAGAAACGCUGCAAAUGAGUUAAUUUGAUGAGAACCGAGAGAUUCAUCAGCUGACAUGUGUGUACCUGUGAACAGAAUAUAGUUGCAAGGAAUUUGGAGAGGUCAUAUGCGUUCUCAUAUUUGAAGAAAUUGAAAAAAAUUGACAGUUGAGGAAUUUGACCAGUGGUUAAGGAAUUUGCCUAAGCAUACUGUUCUUGGAUUCCAGAGUUGUACAUAUCCGAAAAUUCGCACAACUGAGGAAUCUCGUGAAAAUCUUGGAUGCUUAGUGAAGUUCAUCAAUAAUGUGGUGAUAGGCAGUGUUUGAGGAAAAGAAACGGAUGGAUCCUUGAGGAAAAACAGAUUUAUCAUCAUAGAGGUAAAAUAGUAGAUCAAACUUGCUAUAAAAAUAGGGUUUUUAUAUACCCUAGAUGGCGCGCACGAAGAACAGAGAAGAGUAGCAGGGAGAAGCUUUUUCGGUGCGGGUCCAAUGCGCCCUAUCUUGGCAGCAGAGGACGUCUACGGCGGCGGCGGACGAGGAUGGUCCGACUCCGGCGUGGUUUAGACGACGGAAAAGUCGAGGCAGUGAAGCUUUUCUUCGCCGGCGUCGAGACUUCCAGCGAUGGCGCUAGGGUUUGGAGCUUUGCUGUAGCAGGAGAGCGAUGGAGCGAAGAAGUGUUUACCGAGGGGAUGGGGACAUAUUUAUAGCCAGGCAGUUACUGUUGGCGCGAGGAAAUCGGACCAAAUAGCCCCUGCCUCUACGUCUCCGCAAGACACGUGUAGCUCACGAGAGAAGUGGUGGAGAUCGUGGACAUCGUGGUUAUCCGAACGAGGAAAGUGGGGUUGAGUUACUGUUCAUUAAAAAAAAGCAUUUUUGAAGAUUUGAGGAUUUUGUUACAAAAUCAUCAGCUGACAAGGACGCAGUGAGGAUUUCGAACAAAGUUUCAAGUAGAACGCAUAUGAAGAAUUGAAUAGACUGGAUGAGAAUAACAUAGAGGGAAAGUAGGGUCCGAUCGCAUUCACUUAGAUGAAAUAUCAACUUGAAGAAAUAGCUAUAAGUGAAUGUUGUUGAGGACUUGAAAUCACAGUCUAUCUAGGUAAACGAAAGUCAUCAAGUGUUUGAAGAAAAACGAUUUUGAAGAACAACUAAUUUGAAGAAAAUCAAAUUUUUGAAGAAAUGAGACUUUGAAGAAAUUCAACUUGAGGAAUUUCACGUUGGGAGGUGGCGUGACCCACCAUAUAAGAAUGUUGAUUACAGACGCCGCGUACAAUUAUCGUAGGGCCGUGUGAAUCAAUUCUUUGUUGAUUUCUUCACACUCAGAGUGAUAUUCUUCAUCAGUUGAAGAAAAUCGAUUCAUCAUGUGUUGCACAUCUAAGUCAUCAAUUUUGCAUAAGUGUUAGGAUGUGUGCAUGUUUUUACGAAACAUUUGAAGAUUCUAAGAUAUUUAGCUCACACCGCAACUUGCAAAACCUUCUCUCAUCCAAGGGCUUAGUGAAGAUAUCUGCCAGUUGAUCAUCAGUCUUCACAUGGUCGAUGAGGAUAUUGCCCUUGAGGACAUGGUCCCGAAGAAAAUGAUGACGAAUCUGGAUGUGCUUGGUCUUCGAGUGUUGUACUGCGUUGUAUGCAAUCUUGCUUGCACUCUCAUUGUCACAGUAGAGAGGCACAUUCUUCAUGUUGAUGUCGUAGUCCUUGAGGGUUUGCUUCAUCCAUAGCAAUUGAGUACACCAUGAGCCAGCAGCAAUGUACUCAGCUUCGGCAGUGGAGAGUGAUACGCAGUUCUGCUUCUUUGAGGACCAGCAAACUAGCAAUCUUCCGAGGAAAUGGCAAGUGCCAGAGGUUGACUUGCGAUCCACACGGUCACCAGCAUAGUCAGAAUCAGAAUACCCUACCAGAUGAAGAUUUGAGCCCUUGGGGUACCAUAAUCCUAGUCUUGGUGUGUGAGCUAAGUAUUGAAGAAUAUGCUUCACAGCCUUAUGGUGUGAUUCCUUCGGUUUUGCUUGAAAACGUGCACACAUGCAAACACUAAGCAUUAUAUCUAGCCUAGAUGCACAUAAAUACAAUAAAGAGCCAAUCAUAGAGAGAUAUACCUGCUGAUCGAAUUCUUUACCAUUUUCGUCAGUGCAGAGGUGGCCGUUGGUAGGCAUUGGAGUCUUGGCACCUUUGCAUUCAUGCAUGUCGAAUUUCCUCAGAACAUCCUUGAGGUAUUUCUCCUGUGAUAUGAAGAUUCCAUUGCGUUGUUGACGAAUUUGAAGACCUAAGAAGAAUUUCAGCUCCCCCAUCAUAGACAUCUGAUAUUCUUCACUCAUCAUGUAAGCAAAUUCAUCACUAUAUCGUUUGUCAGUACAGCCAAAUAUAAUAUCAUCGACAUAUAUCUAGCACACAAAUAGCUCAUUAUCAUAGGAUUUAGUGAAAAGAGUUGGAUCGAGUGAACCAGGUUUGAAGCCUUUCUUCAUGAGGAAUUCCUUCAAUGUAUCAUACCAUGCCCGAGGGGCUUGCUUGAGACCAUAGAGUGCCUUUUUGAGUCUGAAGACUUUGUCUGGAUUCUUUGGAUCCUCAAAACCUGGGGGCUGAGCAACAUAUACUUCUUCCUCAAGCUUACCAUUGAGGAAUGCACUUUUCACAUCCAUUUGAUAUAAGAUGAUGUUAUGAUGAUUAGCAUAAGCAAGUAGUAUUCGAAUAGCUUCAAGUCUAGCAACAGGUGCAAAAGUUUCAUCGAAAUCUAUUCCUUCAACCUGGGUGUAGCCUUGGGCUACAAGUCGUGCCUUAUUCCUCACCACUUGACCAUCCUCAUCUUGCUUGUUUCGGAAAAUCCACUUGGUUCCGAUGAUAUUGUGCUUGUGAGGAUCUGGUUGUUUGACGAGCUCCCAUACGUCAUUCAGCUUGAAUUGAAGAAGUUCGUCUUGCAUAGCUUGGAUCCACUCCGGUUCCAGGAAAGCCUCAGCAACUUUUGAGGGUUCUAUGAUAGAUACAAAGGAGAAAUGCCCACAAAAGUUAACUAAGUGUGAAGCUUUUGAGCGAGUGAGAGGACCUGGCGCGUUGAUGUCACUGAGGAUUUUGUCAAGUUCUACUUCAUUUGCAAUCCUCGGAUGAGCUGGUUGAGGAUUUCGUCUGGGCUGAGGAAGUGGUUCUGGAGCAAUUUCCUCAAGAGCACCUUCUUGAUUUUCAUCAGUGAUGGGGAUGGUUUCUUCAUCAAUUUUCUCAGUGGGAACAAUGUCUUCAGUAGGUUUGAGCUUUAUUGCUUCCUCAGGAGACAACUUAUCUGGAUCAGAAGGCAAUUGCUCUCUUUGAGAGCCAUUAGUUUCAUCGAACCGCACAUCUACAGUCUCAACAACUUUGUUGUGAUAGUUGUUGAAGACUCUGUAGGUGUGCGAGUCCUUUCCAUAACCGAGCAUAAAACCCUCAUGUGCCUUAGGUGCAAAUUUUGACCUAUGGUGAGGAUCUCUAAUCCAACAUUUUGCAUCGAAGACUUUGAAAUAACUUACAUUGGGUUUCUUAUCAGUGAGGAGUUCAUAUGAGGUUUUCUUGAGGAAUUUGUGAAGAUAUACCCUGUUGAUGAUAUGGCAUGUAGUGUUGAUUGCUUCAGGCCAAAAGCGACGAGGAGUCUGAUAUUCUUCAAGCAUGGUUCUUGCCAUCUCAACGAGAGUCAUGUUCUUCCUUUCAACGACACCAUUCUAUUGAGGGGUAUAAGGAGCAGAUAAUUCGUGAGUAAUACCAAGUUCAUCAAGAUAAUCAUCAAGACCAGUGUUUUUGAACUCUGUUCCAUUAUCACUCCUGAUAUGUUUGAUCUUGAUGCCGAAGUUCGUCGAGGCCCUUGAAGAAAAUCGUUUGAAGAUUUCCUGCACUUCAGUUUUAUAUAAGAUGAUAUGCACCCAUGUAUAUCUGGAAUAAUCAUCAACUAUGAAGAAGCCAUAUAAAGAUGUUGCAUUUGUUAGUGUGGCAUAGUGAGUAGGUCCAAAUAGAUCCAUACGAAGAAAUUCGAAGGGAUGAGUAGUGGUCAUGAUAGUCUUCGAGGGAUGCUUGGAUCUGGUCAUUUUCCCAGAUUCACAUCCACCGCAGAGAUGAUCCUUGAGGAAUUUGACUGAUUCGAUGCCGAUGACAUGCUUCUUCUUCGCGAGCGUGUGCAAAUUCCUCAUGCCUGCAUGACCUAGUCUUCGGUGCCACAGCCAUCCUUCUGAGGUUUUUGUUAGUAAGCAAGUGGUUGGUUGAGGACCUGUAGAGAAAUCAACAAUGUACAAAUCCCCUCUUCUUACACCUUCGAAGACUUUGGAUUUGUCAGAUUCCAUGAUCACAACACAACUAUAUCUACCAAAGAUAACAAUCAUAUCAAGAUCACAAAGCAUCGAGACUGACAUGAGUUUAAAUCCAAGGGAUUCAACAAGCAUCACUUUGUCCAUAUGCCUAUCCUUGGAAAUAGCCACUUUGCCAAGUCCCAAUACCUUGCUUUUACCUUUGUCAACAUAUGUGAUUUGCUUCAGAGGUGAUGGAAUUAGUGGCAUAUUCAUCUGCACGCUUUUAUCACCAGUCAUGUGAUGUGUGCAGCCACUAUCAAGAACCCACUCAGUACUCUUGGGUUUGUCAUCCUGCAGAUGAAUUAGUACAGCUUACCAUCUGAUAUGCUUCAAACUUGAAGAAUAUGAUAUCAAUUUCAUCAGAUAGGAAUUUCAUCAUAACAAAAUUAUAAGGACGUGUGAAAUAUUUCUAUUUCAUCAAUAUUAGCUUGCGUCCUAUCAAGCAUUUCCUCAGGUCUCCAGCAAAUUCUUCAGAUGAUGAUUUUCAUCUGGAGACUUGUCCUGCAGAAGUGAUUAGUUCAAUUUCUUCACCACCCACAUCUGAAGGGGUGGUAAAGCAUUCAUCAUCUUGCGAGCACCAUAUGAGAAAGGUGGCAUUGAAGCUAAUGCACUUCUCUUAGCAGUAGGGGGGUUAAAGUACUCAUAUGAAUAUGCAGAGAACUGGUUUGAGGAUUUAUGAACAUAAUGAUUUGAAGAGUAACGCUCAUAUUCAUAUUCCUUGUAGUUUCCCUGCAUGUUAGAAGCAUUAGCACGGGUACAAGCAUAGUUUUGACCAGUUGAGGAUUUUGAUCCUCUUGAAGACUUUGCUCCUCCUGGGGAAUUUGAUCUAGGGUUCAGAUUCUUCAUUGGUGGUGUCAUGAGGACAUUCACCUGAAGAUUUUCAAGAAAACUUUUGGGAACCCAGAUUUUCCUUAAAGGAGGACCAUUCCUGCAGUUAGUUCCAACAUAUCGAGCAAACACUUCACCAGAUUGAGUUUUGAACAGUUUAUGGUUGGAGGAUAAUUCACAUGAAAAACCAGUUAGAUUGGAUGGAUCAAAAGGAGGCCCAGUAGCAGCAACCCAUGAGGUUUUGGGAUACUGCUCAGGUUUCCAAUAGGAUCCAUCAGCAUUCAAUUUCAUCUCAAAGGCAAUUCCUUCUUUCCUCGGGUUCCUGUUCAAGAUCUGCUUUUUGAGCACAUCACAAAGGGUUUGAUGUCCUUUGAGACUUUUGUAUAUGCCUGUCACAUACAAUUCCUUCAGCCCUGCAUUUUCAUCAGUGACAUUUGUGUUUUCCUCAAGUGAGGAAUUUGACACUACAGGAGCAGUUGAAGAAUUUGUAGCAAUAGAAGCAUUUGAUGAUUCUGGUGAAGAAUUAGCAGUUUCACGUUCAAUGCAUUUAAGACAUGGAGGAAUGAAUUCAGCUUGAGCAGCGCUAAUCUGUUGAGCUAGUAAUGAAUCAUUUUCCAUACGAAGAUCAUCAUGAGAAAUCCUCAACCUCUCUAGAUCAAGCUUCCUUUGAAGAAAUUCAUAGGAAAGUUUCUCAUGAUCAGCGACGAGUGUGUCAUGACGAUCUUGAAGAUUAUCAAAUCUAGACUGAAGACUUUUCACAUCUUCAGUGAGGAUUUGGGUAAGAUUCAUUUCAUCAUUCAACAGGUCAUCGCUUCUAUCUAACAGUUUUUGAAGCUUUUCCAGGGAAGUUUGUUGUUUAGUGGCAAUGGUAGCAAGUUUACUGUAACUGGGUUUUUUAUAAUCAUGAGGUUCACAGUCACUUGAAUCAGAGGAGGAAGCAUCAUUCGGUACCUUUGAACCUUUUGCCAUGAAGCAAUAGGUUGGAGCGAAGUCAUCAGCAUAGUCAUCAGUGUGGAUGGUGUUAUCAUCUUCUUCGAAGUUGAAGAUUGACUUGCUGACGAAAGUGGUUGCAAGUGCAAGACUGGCCUGUCCUGAUUCUGAGUCUUCAUCAGAACCCUCCUCUUCAUCACAUUCCUCUGAUUCUGCCUCGGAAUCCAUUUCCUUGCCAAUAAGUGCCCGAGCCUUUCUGAAACUAGUCUUCUUGUGCGAUGAGGGCUUUGAAGAUGAGGAUUUUGAAGAUUUCUUCUUCUUCUUCGAGUCAUCAGAACUGUCAUCCUUGUAUUUCUUAUUCUUUGAUUCCUUUCCCCAACGGGGACAAUCAGCAAUGUAGUGACCUGAUUUCUUGCAUUUGUGGCAGUGUAAGUGCAUCUAGUGCCCCUUAGUGAUUUUGGUGGUUUGAAGACUUAUAGGUUAAGUAUCUAAUGUGUUUAUAAGUGUACAGAGGAUCUAUAAGUCAUUGAGGAGUUUGAGAUAUUUGAAGAAUAUCGACCCCUAAAAAUGUAUGUCUUCAGUUGAAGAAAUUGGUCUGAAGCUGAAGAAAUGAAUCGCGAAGAAAUUGCGAUGAAAUUGAUAUUCCUCAUGAAGAUAUUGACAUUGAGUAGAUCGGUGGUUCCUGAAGAAAAUCGUUCUGAAGAAAUUGAAGCAUGAAGAUUUACGUUUUCUGUUUUACUUUCUUCGCAAUUAAUGAGUAGGAACACCGUACUGUUAAAGGGGGUCAAAGUAACACUAUGGAAUGGAUUUCCUCAUGAUGCUCAACCCAAGCGAAAUCCUACCAAAAGCCUCAAGUGAGGAAUGUGAGUGACAUGAGGACUCUCACAGUUGAGAGUCCCGACCGUUUCGAUAAGCCACGCCAAGUCACUGAUCUUAUCCACUCCAACGGUCAUAUUAUUUAAGGGCAUUAAUGUCAAAUCAUGUCGGGAUGCUCCGAGGCUAUAAAUAGCCGCCCCCACAACCACUAGCUGGUUGGCUGCUCCGUUAGAAACUGACACUUGUCAUAAGAGCAACCCAAUUCCUCAGAGCUUUCGAGAGUAAAUCAUCAGUGAGGAAAUACACCACCCACCGAAACCACAAACCAAACCUAGUGAUUGAGCAUCACUGAAGAAGUUGUUCCUGUGUGGGACUGAAGCCUUUUACCUUUGAGGACUGUGCAUCCUCCAGACGGUUAGGCGUCAUGGUCUAGAGCAAUCCAGCAGUCAAUUGUGGAUCGCCGGGUGACCGAGUUUGUGAGGGUUUGGAAGUCUGCCCUGAAGACUUACCACGAGUGUUGGGCGAGGACUGUGUGUCCUUAGCUCAAGGAGAAUACGGUAGGGACUGUGUGUCCCGGGACUGGGUGUCUUUUGGUUUCAAUACCAAGCCGCUCCAAACCAGAUGUACAACUGUCACAACAGUUGGAACUGGGUCAUCAACAACAGUCUUCACCAAGAAUCGGGUUCUAAUUCCUCAACUCUUUACUUUCUGUGUAUUAUGUGUUGAUGACUUUCACUGUGACUGUUUGAAGAAUUUGCUGAAGACUUUCUCUGAAUUUCCUCAACCCCAAAUUCUUCACUUGAGUUAAUCAUCAUCUGUAUUCUGCGUGCCUGCUUACUGUGCAAUCUGUUUUCACAUUCUUCACUCUGUAAUACUGCUAUUGUGAAAGGUUGCACGUCUGAUCCGUAAUCGUUUCCGCUGUAAGUUAGUCAUCAGUGAGGAAUUUCCUCAGUGAUGAAAUUCUAAAAAUCUCCUAUUCACCCCCCCUCUAGUCGAUAUAACGCACUUUCAGGCAGGUUCUUUUCUUGUAGUCCUCAGAUGAAGAUUCUGAUUUCCUCAUAUCUCUUCUUGAAGAUUUACCGAACUGGCCACGUCGUGUAAACCUCUGGAAUUUCCUCACGAGCAUUGCAAGCUCCUGUCCAAAUUCUUCAGGAUCACCAAUGCUAUCAUCCGAGUCUUCUUCUUCAGAUGAGGAAAUUGCUCUAGCCUUCAGUGCACGUGGUCUAGAAUAGCUUGGUCCAUAUAGAUCUUUCUUUUUUUCUUGCUGGAAUUCAUGAGUAUUGAGUCUUUCGAGUAUAUCAGCUGGAUCAAGCAUCUUGUAGUCUGGUCUUUCUUGAAUCAUCAGGACUAAAGUAUCAAAUGAAGAAUCCAAAGAUCUUAGCAGUUUCUUCACAACUUCAUGAUCAGUAAUGUCUCGAGCUCCCAGUGCUUGCAGUUCAUUUGAUAUGUUAGUGAGGCGAUCAAAGGUAUCUUGGCAGCUUUCAUUGCAAGCCUCUUGAAGCGAUUGAAGAGAUUUCGAAGAACAUCAACACGAGAAUCACGCUGGGUUGAUACUCCUUCAUUUACUUUGCACAGUCUUUCCCAGGUAAGUGUCGCUGAGCCCAAAGCACUUACUCUUCCAAACUGGUCUGGGCUUAGAUGGCCACAGAUGAUAUUCUUUGCUUGAGAGUCAAGUUGCUUGAAUUUCUUCACAUCAGCAGCAGAGACACUAGCAGAGAUGAUGGGGACGCCAUGUUCCAUAAUAUACCAGAGAUCAUUGUCAAUAGCUUGUAGAUGCAUUUGCAUCUUGGUCUUCCACAAGGGAAAGUUCUUUCCUUCGAAAGUAGGACAUGCUGCAGUAACCUUAAUCAUGCGUGCAGUCGACAUAAUUAAAACUCCAGGUGGUUAAACCAAAAUCACACAGAACAAGGGAGUACCUUGCUCUGAUACCAAUUGAAAGUGCGUUAUAUCAACUAGAGGGGGGUGAAUAGGAGAUUUUUAGAAUUUCAUCACUGAGGAAAUUCCUUUUGAGGAAAUUCCUCACNNNNNNNNNNNNNNNNNNNNNNNNNNNNNNNNNNNNNNNNNNNNNNNNNNNNNNNNNNNNNNNNNNNNNNNNNNNNNNNNNNNNNNNNNNNNNNNNNNNNNNNNNNNNNNNNNNNNNNNNNNNNNNNNNNNNNNNNNNNNNNNNNNNNNNNNNNNNNNNNNNNNNNNNNNNNNNNNNNNNNNNNNNNNNNNNNNNNNNNNNNNNNNNNNNNNNNNNNNNNNNNNNNNNNNNNNNNNNNNNNNNNNNNNNNNNNNNNNNNNNNNNNNNNNNNNNNNNNNNNNNNNNNNNNNNNNNNNNNNNNNNNNNNNNNNNNNNNNNNNNNNNNNNNNNNNNNNNNAACUUACAGCGGAAACAAUAAAGGAUCAGGAGUGGAAAGUUUCACUACAACAGUUUUUCAGUAUGAGAAAUGUGAAAAUAGAUUGCACAGUAAGCAGGCAUGCAGUAAACCGAUGAGGAUUAACUUGCGUGAAGAAUUUGGGGUUGAGGAAUUUCAGAGAAAGUCUUCAGCAAAUUCUUCAAACAGUGACAAUGAAAAUCAUCAACACAUAAUAUGAGGAAUAUAAAGAGUUGAGGAAUUAGAACCCGUUUCACAGCGAAGACAGUAGUUGAUGACCGAGUUCCAACUGCUGUGACAGUUGUACAUCUGGUUUGGAGCGGCUUGGUAUUGAAACCAAAAUACACACAGUCUCAGGACACACAGUCCCUACCGUAUUCUCCUUGGGCUAAGAACACACAGUCCUCGCCCAACACUCGUGGUAAGUAUUCAGGGCAGACUUCCAAACCCUCACAAACUUGGUCACCCGGCGGUCCACAAUUGACUACUGGAUUGCUCUAAACCAUGACGCCUAACCGUCUGGAGGAUGCACAGUCCUCAAAGGUAAAAGGCUUCAGUCCCACACAGGAACAACUUCUUCAGUGAUGCUCAAUCACUUGGUUCUCGGUUUGUGGUUUGGUGUUUGGGGUAUUUCGUCACCGAUGAAUUACUCUCGAAGACUCUGAGGAAUUGGGUUGCUCUUAUGACAAGUGUCAGUUUCUAACGGAGCAGCCAACCAACUAAUGGUUGUGGGGGCGGCUAUUUAUAGCGUGGGAGCAUCCCGACAUGAUUUGACACUAAUGUCCUUAAAUAAUAUGACCGUUGGUGUGGAUAAGACCAAUGAUGUGGCGUGACUAUCGAAAUGGUCGGGACCCUCAACUGUGAGAGUCCUCAUGUCACUCAUAUUCCUCACUUGAGGCUUUUGGUAGGAUUAGGCUUGGGUUGAGCAUCAUGAGGAAAUUCAUUCCAAUGUGUUACCUCGACCCCCUUUAACAAUACGGUGUUCCUGUUACUCAAGUGUGGAGAAAACAAAACAGAGAGAGUACAUCGUCAUGCUUCAAAGUCUUCAAAAUAAUUUUCUUUAGGACACACCGAAUUCCUCAAUUUCAAUAUCUUCAUGAGGAAUAUCAAUUUCAUCGCAAAGUCUCCGCGAUUCAAAUCUUCAGCUUCAGAUCAAUUUCUUCAGCCGAAGAUAUACAUUUUUAGGGGUCGAUAUUCAUCGAAUAAGUCAAACUCCUCAGCAACUUAUAGAUCCUGUGUACACUCAUGAACACAUUAGAUACUUAACCUAUAAGUCUUCAAACCACCAAAAUCACUAAGGGGCACUAGAUGCACUUACACGCUCCUUUUGGGCAUUUAAGAUCAUCUUAGAGAGCGUUUCAACCGCAAGAUUGAACAGGAACGGAGAGAAAGGGUCUCCCUGGCGUACCCCUUUGUGACUCUGAAAGUAGGAGCCUUUUUCAUUAAUAAGCUUGAUACUCACCGUUCCAUUAUAAAGAAUCUUCUUCACCCAACCACACCACGUAUCACCAAACCCUUGGUUUCGGUGACAUUCCAAAAGGAAGUCCUAGUUGAUUUUAUCAUAAGCUUUCUCAAAGUACAGCUUUAAGAUUAUACCAACUUAGUUCCUACGUUGCGCAUGGUGUAGAACUUAAUGUAAAGUUAGAAUGCCAUCCAUUAUGUUCCUAUGUUUAAUGAAUGCAUUUUGAUGUGUGCUGAUCAGGAUAUCUGAGUAGACAGCGACUCUAUCAUUCAAUACCUUAGUAAUAAGCUUAUAAGGACACCUCAACAAACAUAUGGGUCUAUAUUGUUGGAUUUUUUGCUUUUGAUAUUUCUUUUGUUUUUUGUUUCCUUUUCGGUUUCGAUUUCUUUGUUUUUUGUUUUUUUCAGGGUUUUUCUUUUUAUGAAAAAAUUCUACAAAACUUAUUUCCAAAAGUUUUACAAAAGUACUAUAAAACUAUUUUCAAAGAUAUCGAUGCGGGAAAUCCAACGGUCUAACCGAUUCGUCAUUUGGACGCAUGUUUCAAAAAAUAGAACUUUUUGAGAAAACGAAUCUAUGGAAAAAGACAAAACCCUGUGAUAAUGAUAAGUGGCGCACAUGUAACGUGCCACUUGUCACCACCACAGAAGGUGAGAGUAACCCCUCCAAAGGGCACCCUCUAACUAGUGAUAUCAACAUAUAUAUUAAAAUUGUCGCAUGUGACUCGUUUAUCCCUAAUACUUGAAAAGAACAGAAAAAAUUGGAAAAUUUACAAAAAAGGCAAAUUGUCGUGUGAGAGAACUCUUGAGUUUUAUUAGUGGAGUCCUCAUUAAACAUCUCCUACAUGUGAAGGAAAAGGAGUACAAAGCCACUCUCUAGAUUACAAAAUGAUAAAGGAAAUUAUAGAAGAAGAAAGAAAAUUUACAGAGACUACAACUCUUCUUCUUCAUCAAAAGAUUUUCAAAAGUGGCUUCUAGUCCUUUAUUGUCUACAGUGUGUUGGGCUCUUCUUCUAGCUAGUUUCCCAUAUUUUCAUGGCCAAGUUUUUUCAUCAUAUUUGGGGUCCUGGUUCUUCUCUCCUCAAGUAUUUUCUAGUUAGGCUGAAAGAAUGCUCUCAUGACGUCACUGAGACGAGUACUGGUAACACAUCCCAUGUUGACAUGGAAAGCAUCGAAUAUGUAAGUGUGUGGUCAUACUGUUGUAGUAUGUUCAAUGCCUCCUCGACCUCUUUCAUUGAAGCUGACUUUAUCGAUGUUGAACUAGUUCGCUAACUCCUUGCCACCUACAAGCACAUGUGUUGUUGCUCUUGCGAAAGAGCUCGAGGAAAAUCUGAAUCUUAAGAGGGAUUUUAGCUCUCCAAAUCCAUCUAUAAUCACAGCGUGCAAUAUUUCUUUCUAGGUAUUCAUAAACAGGUUUAGUAGAGAAAUUCUUCCUACUCCCCAGCGUCCAGGCAAUUUGGUCUGGAACAUCAGAGGUAGUCCAACCUUCAACAGUAUUAUUAAGAUCCCCCCAUUGACUUAAAAGGGAAUGGUGCAUCUGUCUCCUGAAGAAAUCAGCAUCCACCCCGGUUUUGAAUCUCUCCACUGUUAUUUUUUGGUGGUUACAGAUAUUAAACAUCUCAGCAUACUUGUCUUUUCAGCGGCAGGUUACUGCGAAUGGGAUCAAACCAAAGUCUCGCAAUGUUGCCAGAGUUUAGUAGAACUUCUCUUUCAGCCAUGUAGUAAGGUUUCACCUUCAUAAUGGCCUUCCAGAUCGGAGAAUUCACAAAUUUGCUCGUCACCGAAGCCACAUCAUCCUUUCUAAGGUACUUAGCUUUAAUCACCUCUUGCCAUAGCCCAUUCUGGGUUUCUAGUUUCCACCUCCAGUUAGUAAGGAGACUAANAUCUAGCAAGCGCGAACCAACCUACCGAUUCCGGCGGUCUGGCUCCGAUCAAAAGACGGGCGAGGCAGGGGCGGCGAAGGUCGGAGUCGGUGCCCUCUGCCGCCGUCGGACGAGAGGAGGGGUAGUAAUUUUGACAGGGAAGGUGUUUUUUUUUUCUCUCUUGCAGGAAGGGAAAAGGUGUUUUGGGGGGAGCAUUUCGCACGGGAGUGAUCGACCAAAACCUGGCCAGGGCCCGUGCUAAACGUGUCUGGCAUCACACGGUCCAUGGCGGCCCGGUCAUAAACAGGCCGUGCUGUGAUAUUAAACUCAUGCACAUUACAUAUGCUCCCUUCGUGUUAAAAUCAUUACUUAAGGAAUACACCCCCCAACGAUUACGCAGGGUGUUCUUUACGCAUGACAAGUGUCGCGUUUUAAACGCGUUGGAAACCUUUCAACAGCGCUCCGCGUGACACUUGUCACGCAGGGAAGAGUCCCGUUAUUUUCGGUUUUCGUUUUCUCUUUUGGUUUUCCUUUUAACAAUUAAGCCCCUGGAUAAUUUAGGUUUUCUAGUAAUCCUUCAAUCUAUUUGUUCAGAUUUGCUUCAUCCCGUCUCGCGGCCGUCAUUCGCUGCCACCGUCCGUCCUGCUGUCGUCGUCCUGCCGCCGUCCGUCCCGCUGUGGUCAUCCUGUCAUCGUGUGGUAUUACACGGUCCAUGGCGGCCCGGUUAUGAAUAGGCCGUGUUGUGACCUUAAACCCAUGCAUAUUACAUAUACUCCCUUCGUACCCCCAAAAACAUACUCCAUUCAUUUUUACAUAUAAGUUUUUUUAAGUUUCACUUAAAAAUUACAUACGGAUGUAUAUAGAUAUAUUUUAGAAUGAAGAUUCAUCCAUUUCACUUCGUAUGUACUUCUUAGUGAAAUCUUUAAAAAGACUUAUAUUUAAAAACAGAGGGAGUAUGAAAGAGCUCUAAAGAAAUCACAUAUAUGAGAUUUGCCCUAAAAACACAUAUUUGUCUCAAAAAUAACUUUAAUUAUUGGGUAUCCUCAUGGCAGAAAUCGGAGAUUAUUUUUUGCUCGUCACCUCUUGUUAUAGCCCAUUCAUAAUGACCUUCCAGAUCGGAGAAUCCACAAAUUUGCUCGUCACCGAAGCCACAUCAUCCUUUCUAAAGUACUUAGCUUUAAUCACCUCUUGCCAUAGCCCAUUCUGGGUUUCUAGUUUCCACCACCACUUAGUAAGGAGACUAAUGUUUUGUUUGUGAAGAUCUUUCACUCCCAAACCCCCUUUUCUCUUAGAUCUGCAAAUACGCUCCCAUUUCACCAAAUGAUAUCUCUUAUUCCCCUCAUACUCUCGCCAGAAGAAUUUUUUCCGAUGUUUAUCCAGUUUAUAGAUCACCAUCUUAGGAAGUAAAAAACAUGGACAUAUAAUACUCCCUCUGUCCCAAAAUUCUUGUCUUAGAUUUGUCUAGAUAAGAAUGUAUCUAGUCACAUUUUAGCAUUUAAAUACAUUCAUUUCUACACAAACCUAAGACAAGAAUUUUGGGACGGAGGGAGUAGUAUAUACAAUACUAGUAAGGGAAGAAUUCAUCAAAUUCAGCCUACCCCCCGAGGAUGCAGCAUUGCCUAUCCAUGUCUCACAACAUCUUAGGAAUUUAUCAUCCACAAAGGACCGAUCCACGUUUCUAAGAUUGGUAUAGCUGACCGGCACCACUAGAUAUUUCAUAGGAAAAUGCCCAAUCUGGCAGUUAAACAGGUCAGCAUAGAUUUUCAAGAUGUUAUCAUCACCCCCCACACAAAGGAUCUCACUUUUAUCAAAGUUUAUCUUGAGUCCAUACAUCAGCUCAAACAUAUAAAGCAGGAGCUUCAUUUUAAUAGCUGCAUCAUAGUCAUGCUCGAAGCAAAUGACGCUAUCAUCUGCAUAUUGAAGGAUAGCUAUACCUCCCUCAAUCAGGUCGGGAGCAAGGCCAGUUAGGAGGCUCUCCUUUUGGGCAUUUAAGAUCAUCUUAGAGAGUGUUUCAACCGCAAGAUUGAACAGGAACGGAGAAAAAGGGUCUCCCUGGCGUACCCCUUUGUGACUCUGAAAGUAGGAGCCUUUUUCAUUAUUAAGCUUGAUACUCACCGUUCCAUUAUAAAGAAUCUUAUUCACCCAACCACACCAAGUAUCACCAAACCCUUGGUUUCGGUGACAUUCCAAAAGAAGUCCGAGUUGAUUUUAUCAUAAGAUUUCUCAAAGUCCAGCUUUAAGACUAUACCAACUUUUUUCCUGCGUUGCGCAUGGUGUAGAACUUAACGUAAAGUUAGAAUGCCAUCCAUUAUGUUCCUAUGUUUAAUGAAUGCAUUUUGAUGUGUGCUGAUGAGGAUAUCUGAGUAGACAGCGACUCUAUCAUUCAAUACCUUAGUAAUAAGCUUAUAAGGACACCUCAACAAACAUAUGGGUCUAUAUUGUUGGAUUUUUCAGCCCCGUUUAACUUUGGGAUCAGAGUGAUCACCCCAUAGUUCAGUCGGGCCACAUCCAGAGUGUUAUUGUGAAAGGCUUCAAACAAACUCAUCAAGCCUUUCUUGACAAAAUCCCAGCAAUGUUUAUAAAACUCCGCUGGUAUAUUAUCGGGGCCAGGUGCUCUAUUACUAUCCAUACAAAACAAGGCUUUGUUCAGUUCUUCCUUAGUGAAGUUACUAGUGAGUAGAUUAUUAUCCUCAACACUAAGCUUUUCCUCCGCAGACCAAGUAUCAGAUGAUAAGUGAAACAUGUUCCCCCUAGCUAGGUCGAACAGUUCCUUGUAGUAGUUAGUAGCAUGGGCCAGAAGGUUUGGGGUGCCCUCAAUCAAAAUAUCCCUGUUGGUGAAAGAGUGAAUAGUAUUUUUUUCACUUUCUACCAUUAGCAACCCAAUGAAAAAAAUGCAGUAUUCUGGUCUCCUUUUAGCAACCAUCGUUCGUUAGAGUGUUGGAGCCAGAAUAUCUCUUCUUUGGCUAGAAUCUCAUUGAAUUCAGCAUACAACAAUGUUCUCUUUCAUAUAUCUCAGGGUCUAAAGGGCAAGCUUCUUCCAUUCUCUCAAUAUCCUCUAACUCUUUCUUAAUGUUGGCUUUCCUGUUCCUAUCAUGACCAAAAGCAUUAGACCCCCACCCUUUGAAAUACUUCUUAAUACGCUUCAGCUUGAUAUUAAGAAUAUCAAUAAGGUCACCCGGCCCAACACGUUGUUGCCAAAUACUCUUAGCUUUAGGAUAAAAUUCAUCAUUCUUUAACCAAGAAAGCUGAAGCCUAAAUUCAUGAGUGACAGGAGACCCAUGCUUAAUAGCAUUUGAGGACAAUAGGAGAGGAUUAUGAUCAGACACAUCUCUAACAAGUUUACAUACUGAUACCAAAUGGUAUAUGUCCUCCCAAUCAAAGCUCACAACCACAUUGUCCAACUUCUCCAGAGUAGGAUGACUCUGCUUAUUAGUCCAACUAUACUUACCACCUCCCAUGUGAAUCUCCCGAAGGCUUAAGGAGUUAAUGACCAUAUUGAACUUGUCCGUGAACUUCGAGUUACCAGGAUUCCUAUUUUUUCAUCCACCCCCAAAUGAUAUUAAAAUCACCUCCUGUGAUACAAGGGAAAUUAAGACUGCUACAGGUACCAAGCAUCUCAUCCAGGAACUCAUCCUUACGAUCAUCAUGAGCUGCUCCAUAAACCACUAUCAGAUCCUACACACAUUUCUUCUUAACAUCAAACACUGUGGCUUGAACAAGGAAGUUCCCUAUCGCCCAGGAGACUAUCUCAAGGGUAUGUUUUCUAAUACCACACAGGAUACCACCAGACCUACCCACAGAAGGUAAAUGAUUCCAAAUGAAGUUGUCAAAGGGGUCCACUUUGUUUAAGAACUUAGGAGGAAACUCUUUCUUUUUAGUUACUUGGAUACCUAUAAAAUCAAGGGAAUGGUCUUUGAUGAUAUCAGAGAAACAUGUAACCAUUCCUCUCCUACCCGCUCCCCUGCAUGAUUUCAUAUCCUUGUAAUUCUCUUCGAGUUGUGGGUUUUGUUUGGCCAACUUGAUCUAAGAUUCUUGCAAUGGGAGAAGUGCUUGGUUUUGGGUUCAUACCGUGCGUUGACCUCACCUAGUGAGAGAAGGGGUAGCGAGGCACGCAUCAUGUUGUUUCCAUCAAGGGUAAAAAGAUGGGGUUUUCAUCAUUGGUUUGAGAUUAUCCCUCUACAUAAUGUCAUCUUGCUUAAGGCGUUACUCUGUUCGCCAUGAACUCAAUACACUAGAUGCAUGCUGGAUAGCGGUCGAUGUGUGGAGUAAUAGUAGUAGAUGCAGAAAGUAUCGGUCUACUUGUCUCGGACGUGAUGCCUAUAUGUAUGAUCAUUGCCUUAGAUAUCGUCAUGACUUUGUGCGGUUCUAUCAAUUUCUCGACAGUAAUUUGUUCACCCACCGUAAUAUUUGCUAUUUUGAGAGAAGCCUCUAGUGAACACUAUGGCCCCCGGGUCUACUUCACACCAUAUUUUCAGCCUUACACUUUUACUUUGUUGCACUUUCCGCCUUCAGAUCUCACUUUGCAAUCAAUCUUUAAGGGAUUGACAACCCCCUUUAUAGCGUUGGGUGCAAGCUCCUUUGUGUUUGUGCAGGUACUCUGGACUUGACACGGUUCUCCUACUGGAUUGAUACCUUGGUUCUCAAACUGAGGGGAAUACUUACUGCUCCUGUGCUGCAUCGCCCUUUUCUCUUCAAGGGAAAAACCAGCGCAAGCUCAAGAGACAACAGAAGAUUUCUUUCGCCGUAGCAGAAGGAUUUCUGGCGCUGUUGCCGGGGAGGAUCAAGUCAAGAACUCAUCCAAGUAAGUGUCGCAAACUCAUCUCUUGCAUUUACUUUUUUGCCUCUCGUUUUACUCCCCCCCCCCACUUCUGAAAAACAAAAAUUUACAAAGAUAUUUGCCCUUUUCUUCGUUUGCCUUUUUCGUUUGCCUUUCCUUUUCUUGUGUGCUAUGUGCCUUCAAUAUGCUUGCAACUUCGGUUGCUAAAAAUCUAUUGAUAUGGAUCCUCAUCCACUUGCUAAUCUCUUUAAGAGAUCCAAUUAUGUUGAUCCAAUUGCUAGUGAGUUGAGUGCACUUGACUUUCUCUAUGGAGUUUUGCUUGAGAUGCAUGAAUCUGAAAAUCGUGAUGAAGAAAUUUAUGAAGUGAUUCACGAGGGCUCCUUGAAUGAAAAGCAUGAUUGCAAUGGUUUCAUUAUAAAUUCUAUUAAUGACAAUCAUGCUAAAAAUAUGCAAAACCCUAAGCUUGGGGAUGCUAGUUUUGCUAUGUCCACUACUUGUUGCAAUAAUCAUGAUUGGGGCGAUGAUUUUUCUUAUGAUCGUGAAAAUUUGUUUAAGCCUCAUGAUGAAUAUGAUAUUUGCAAUAUUAUUGAAAGUGGGUUUGGAGAAGUCAUGACUUUAGUUGAUUAUAAUCCCACUAUUUUUGGAGAGCGUCAACUUUGCAUGCAUGUGGAUCAUGAAAAGAAUAUCCUAUGGGAUAGCUAUAUUGUUGAAUUUGAAUAUGAUCCCACAUGUAAUUUCUAUGAGAGAGGAAAAUAUUAUGGCAGAAACUUUCAUGUUACCAAAUUACCUCUCGUCAUGUUGAGAUUGAUAUUGUCUCUUUCUUCUUCCUUGCAUAUGGUAACUAUUGGUUGUCUUGACAAUCUAUUUUCCUAUAAAAUGCCUAUGCAUAGGAAGUAUGUUAGACUUAGAUGUGAUUUUCACAUGCUUUAUGAUGCUCUCGUUGUGCUUCAAUUCUUGUCUUUUGUGUGAGCAUCAUUGAUUUAUCAAUGCCUAGCUAAGGGCGUUAAACAAUAGCGCUUGUUGCGAGGCAACCCAAUGAAUUUAUCUUUUCCUUUCUGUUUUGUUGCGUCCACACCAUCAUAAUUUUGUUAUGAUUGUGUUUUUUGUGUUUCUUUUUGUGUUUAAGCCAAGCAAAACCUUUAUGACUAGUCUUGGUGAUGGUUGUUUGAUCCUGCUGGAAAAAGACAAAAACUUUUCGCUCACGAGAUUAUUUUUCAUUUGUAUUCAUAAAGAUAUUUUGAGUUGAUUCUUUUUCCCGAUGGUUGAUAUGCCUUUUUCCCACGCAGUCGUAAUUUUUCAGAAUUUUUGAGGUACCAAAAGUAUACGAAGUAUACAAAUUGCUACAGACUGGUCUGUUUUUGACAGAUUCUGUUUUUGUUGAGUUGGUUGCUUGUUUUGAUGAAACUAUGGAUAGUAUCGGGGGGUACUAGCCAUAGAAAAGUGAUAAUACAGUAAUCUAACACCAAUAUAAAUAGAAAUCAAGGUUGCUACAGUACCUAAAGAGGUGGUAGUUUGUUUUCCUGUGCUAAUGAUAUCACGAGUUUCUGUUUAAGUUUUGUGUUGUGAAGUUUUCAAGUUUUGGGUGAUGUUCUCAUGGACAAAGGGAUAAAGAGUGGAAAUAGCUCAAGAUUGGGGAUUCUCAAGGAAUCCCAAGCCAAAUUCGAGGACACCAAAAAGCCUAAGCUUGGGGAUGUCCCGGGAAGGCAUCCCCUCUUUCGUCUUCAAUCCAUCGGUAACAUUACUUGGAGCUAUAUUUUUAUUCACCACAUGAUAUGUGUUUUGCUUGGAGCGUCUUGUAUCGUAGGAGUCUUUUAUUUUUUUUGUGUCACAAUCAUCCUUGCUGCACCUUUUGAUAGAGACACACACUCAUCGUGAUUUUGCUAGAAUGCUCAUCAUGCUUCACUUAUAUGUUUUGAGCUAGACCAUUUUGCUCUAUGUGCUUCACUUAGAUCUUUUAGAGCACGGCGGUGCGUGACUUGUUAGUUGGCUUGUGCUAUGAAAGUAGUCCCAAAGGAGAUAGGUACCCAAAGAGGAUACAAAAACCUCUUCAUGUGCAUUGAGUUGAAAGAGAAGUUUUGAUUCCUCUCAAUUAGUUUUGAGACGUGGAUUUGGUAAUAUUAAGAGUUAUGUUAGUAGGGUGUUGUGAAUCUAGAAAUACUUGUGUUGAAGUUAGUGAUUCCCGUAACAUGCACGUAUGGUGAACCGCUAUGUUAGGAAGUCGGAGCAUAAUUGAUCUAUUGAUUGUCAUCCUUUGUGUUGAGGUCGGGAUCCCGCGAUGGUUAACACCUACCAACCCUUCCCCUAGGAGUAUGCGUUUAGCCCUUUGUUUUGAUUACUAAUAAAAACUUUCGCAACAAGUAUGUGAGUUCUUCAUGACUAAUGUGAGUCCAUGAUAUAGAUGCACUUUAACCUUCCACCAUUGCUAGCCUCUCUAGUGCCGCGCAACUUUCGCCGGUGCACAAACCCACCAUAUGCCUUCCUCAAAACAGCCACCAUACCUACCUACUAUGGCAUUUUCAUAGCCAUUCCGAGAUAUAUUGCCGUCCAACUCCCACCGUUCCAUCGCAUGACUUGUGCCGUCACUCUCAUAUUGCCUUUGCAUGAUCGUAAGAUAGCUAGCGAGAUGUUUUCAACGUCAUACGCCCAACUAGAUCGUUGCACAUCCCGGUACACUGCCGGGGGCAUUUCAUAUAGAGUCAUCAUCAUUCUAAGCUUUGAGCUGUGAGUAAAUAAAAGUGUGAUGAUCAUCAUUAUUAGAGCAUUGUCCCAUGUGAGGAAAUAAAAAAAGGCCAAAGAUGCCCACCAACAAAAAUGAAAAGAGGCCAAAGAGCCCAAACAAAAAAAGAGGGAAAAAGAGAGAAGGCACAAUGCUAAUAUCUUUUUCCACACUUGUGCUUCAUAAUAGCACCAUGUUCUUCAUGAUUGAGAGCUUCUUGUUUUGUCACCACCUUAUGCUAGUGGGAAUUUUCAUUAUAUAACUUGGCUUGUAUAUUCCAAUGAUGGGCUUCCUCAAAUUUCCCUAGGUCUUCGUGAGCAAGCAAGUUGGAUGCACACCCACUAGUUCUCCUUUUGAGCUUUCACAUACUUAUAGCUCUAGUGCAUCCUUUGUAUGGCAAUCCCUACUCAUUCACAUUGAUAUCUAUUAAUGGGCAUCUCCAUAACUCUUUGAUACGCCGAGUCAAUGUGACCAUCUCCUCCUUUUUUGUCUCACAACCACCACCACACUCUAUUCCACCUAUAAUGCGAUAUGUUGGGUAACGUAGCAUAAAUUCAAAAAAAUUCCUACGCAUAUUCAGAUCUUCCUAUGGAGAGACCAGCAAGGAGAGAGGGGUGAGUGCAUCUUCAUACCUUUGAAGAUCGCUAAGCCGAAGCGUUGCUAGAACGCGGUUGAUGGAGUCGUACUCGCGGCGAUUCUGAUCGCGGUGUGAUUCCGAUCUAGUGCCGAACCAUGGCACCUCCACGUUCAACACACGUGCAACCCGGUGACUGAUACGUCUCCGUCGUAUCUACUUUUCCGAACUCUUUUGCCCUUGCUUUGGACUAUAAUUUGCAUGAUUUGAAUGGAACUAACCCGGACUGACGUUGUUUUCAGCAGAAUUGCCAUGGUGUUGUUUUUGUGCAGAAAUAAAAGUUCUUGAAAUGUCCUGAAAAUUUACGAAUAUUUUUUCCGGAAUAAAAUUAAAAUACCUGCGCAAAGAUCCACCGGAGGAGGUGGACCAGUGGGCCACAAGCCCAUAGGCCGCGACCACCCCCUGGCCUCGCCGUGAGGGCUUGUGGGGCCCACGUGGCUCCACCGUCCCCAAACUCAGCUCUAUAUCUUCCAUCUCGCCCGGAAAAAAAUUAGAGAGAAGGUUUCAUCGCAUUUGACGAUACGGAGGCGCCGCCACCUCCUGUUCUUCAUCUGGAGGGCAGAUCUGGAGUCCAUUUCGGGCUCCGGAGAGGGGAAAUCGUCGCCAUCGUCAUCGUCAACCUUCCUCCAUUGACAAUUCCAUGAUGCUCUUCAUCGUUCGUGAGUAAUCUCAUCCUAGGCUUGCUGGACGGNAUGUGUUAUGACCCGGAAACCCCGGAGUGACAAUAGCCGGAACCACUCCCGGAGAUGACCAUAGUAUGAGGAGUUCAUGUAUUCACCGCGUGUUAAUGCGUUGGUCCAGUUCUUUAUUAAAAGGAGAACCUUAAUAUCCCGUAGUUUCCAUUAGGACCCUGCUGCCACAGGAGGGAUGGACAAUAGAUAUCAUGCAAGUUCUUUUCCCUAAGCACGUAUGACUACAUACGGAAUACAUGCCUACAUUAGAUUGACAAAUGAGAGCUAGUUACUUAUAUCUCCGUGUUAUAGCUGUUACAUGAUCAAUCACAUCUGUAAUACUCAUCCAUCACCGAUCCACUGCCUACAAGUCUUUUACUACUGAUCCUUGCUACGUUACUUUGUCUAGGCUUGUCCCUUGCUACAAAAGGGAUUGGGCCACUUUGCUGCUACUGCUGUCACUUUGCUACUACUCUUGCUACUACUGUUACUCUGCUGCUGCUGCUACUGUUGUUCCUUGCUACUUCGCUGUUACUGAAAGUGCAUGCUAAGCCCCUAAUCGACUUUUGGUGUUAAUGACAACACAUACAUAGGAAACUAAUCCUAUUUGUUGAGUGUAUCUCAGGAUGGCAAGUACUUUAGUAGAUUGAGAAUUAUGUGCCAAACAUGGUCUGAGAAGAUCGGGAUUUAUGUUUCGAGAAGGCUCGGGAUUUAGAAAAGAUGAUGUAGACUAUUCUUUUGAGUUUACUCAUAUUGAGUAUAGGGAUCCCGCACUAUUAAGAGGGGAUCACAGGUUUUGCGAUGAACUUGCUCAUACCACAUCUUCACUGUCAUACCCAAUACCACAUAUUCUCCACUCUGUUCCUAUCUCAAAACAGGUCUAUUGCCUCGGACUUCCGGCUCCCUCCGGACGUCCGAGGGCCGCCCGACCGACAGGCUUCGGGAAUCCGGAACCCUCCACCAGAAGAAUGUGAGUCAUAUAACUCGGAUUUCCGGCUCCCUCCGGACAUCCGAGGGCCGGAUGUCCGACCAGCCUCGGAAAUCCGGAGCCCUGCACCAGAAGAACAUGAGCUCUAUAACUCGGAUUUCCGGCUCUCUUCGGACGUCCUAGGCUGGAAUGUCCGUCCCCCUUCGGAAAUCCGGAACCUCCCACCAGAAGAAGUUGAGUCGAUUAACUCGGAUUUCCGGUCCCCUCCGGACGUCCGGUCGCUGUUCAAUUCACAUUAUUUUCAGUCAUAUCUAUAGGCCUCGGACGACCGACCCCUGUCGGACGUCCGACCUCUCGCGGACGCCCGGACUUCCGGAAACUGUCGGACGUCCGGACCCUGUGUGACUUAAAGUGUCCCCAACGGCUGUUUUUCACUCCCCACUAUAUAUACUCUUCUCCCACCUCGUGAGAGGGUGUUCAACACAGCUAGAAUACAUCCAAGAACACCUUUCUUCUCACUCACUCUUGUCUACACCAAAUCCUAGAUCCCAAGAGCAUUUGUGAGUCCCUUUGAGUGUUGUUCCAAUCAAAAGAUAGAUCGUCUCCCUCUCCUCCUUCCCACCAAAAUGAUUUGUGAUUUGAGCAAGUUUUGAGCAAUCCCCGUGAUCUUGUUACUCUUGGAGGUUGGAGACUCCUAGGCGGUAGGAGUCUUCGAAGAGGAAUCAAACCAUUGUGAUUUCCCCCGGAAAGUUUGUGAAGGUUUGGAAGCCACCUCAAGGCUUACCACUAGUGGUUGAGAAACGCCUUCAUGGAGUUAUCUCAAAGGGAGAAUAGGGUGAGCCUUCGUGGCGUUGGUGUGCCUUCGUGGUAACAUCCGCCCCUCUAACGGUGACGUAGCUUCCCUCCAAGGAAGUGAACAUCGGGAUACAUCCUUGUCUCUCUUGGAGUUUUGGUUAUUCCUAACCCUAACUCUCUACUUGUGUUUAUCCUUAUUACGUACUUGUAUUUGAUUAUUGUUUACCGCUUGUCUUACUUCACUCUAAAUAGCUUACUCCUUGUCAUAGCAAUUAUUAGGCCUACACUCAUAUUCCGCACUUUUGCCUAAAAUUGCUAAGUAAUUAUUAAAAUUUGGAAUUGUACCUAUUCACCCCCCCUCUAGGUCCAUCUCGAUGCUUUUCAAUUGGUAUCAGAGCCUCGUGGUCUAUUCUUGUGGCUUAACCGCCCUAGAGCGAGAUGGAUGAGGUUCCAGCUACGGUAGCUCUAGUGCAGAGGGACGGGACUUCCAUGGAAGUCAAGUCUUUCACCUCUGAGAACAUGGAACGGGCCCUUGCCAAGCAAAAAAUGGAGCAUGAUGCUUCUCUGGAGGCCAUGGUCCAAAUGAGACUAGCAUCACUAACCACGGGGACAACCACGUCCCCGAGGGCCUCAGGGCCACAUGUGCAUGGUACUUCAUUUGGCCAACAACCUCCGGAAAGGAACCAAACCAGUGUUCCAUGGCAUUAUGCUAGAUCUCAAAUUGAGAAACCUAAGUAGAAUCCUGGAGGAAAACCUCCCUUGCUUCAUGACAAUUCCGAUUUUGCUUUGUGGAGAGUUGGUAUGCAGGAUCAUCUUAGGUACGCCAAUGAUGAGAUGUUGGACAUCCUCGAGCAUGGGUACAAUCCUGCAGAUCCAAGGUGCCUCACUCCCAGAGAAACUUAUGACAAGCAUCUCAAUGACACUGCGAUCAUGUGCAUAAGAAAAGGAAUGAAUGACAAGCAACGGAGACCUUACAUUCACAUCACAAGUGCCAAGGAACUGUGGGAUAGCAUUAUAAGGACCAAGACCGGUACCUCACUCUUCGGCUUGCUCAAUAUGAAAUUGCCAAGGGGCAAUUACAGAAUUUCUGUAUCGAGAAGGGUGAAUCUCCCAAGAAACUACUAGAACGGCUCAUGACUCUCGCCGCAGACAUUGAGUCAUGUGACUGUGACAAGACGCAAGAUGGUUUCAAUCUGACCAAGAGAUUUCUUGUGGACAAGUUACUUCAUGCUCUUGCUCUGUAUCACCAUCAAAUGGUAUGGGACAUGAGGCAGCACCAUGGGUUCAAAGAAAUGACUCCAUAUGACAUCAUAUCCACUUUCCAACUAUUUGAAGAGUCAAAGGCAAAUGCAACAAAGCACCUUGCCAUGCAUGGCACUUCAACAUCAAAGAUCAAUCUUGCUUUGAAAGACAAGCAUGAAUGUGACGAAGAAGAAAGUGAAGAAGAAGAAGGUGAUGAUGACUGCGAAGAUGGUGAUGAUGUUGACUCUGAUGAAAGCCCAUCUUAUGAGGACAUUGCUCUCUUUGUAAAGAAGUUCAGUGCAGGAAAGUUCAAGGGAAGAUUCCCAAAGAAGAAGGUAAGGAAAUGCUAUAAAUGCGAGGGAACCAACCACUUCUCCAAUGACUGUCCUUAUGAGAAGAGAGAAGACAAACCAAGGUUUCCAAAGACCUUUGUAAAGAAUAAGUUGCCAAACCCUAUGAACUCCAAGCUCAAGAGGACAGAUGGAAGAGAAAUGGUUGCACAAGAAGAAUCAGAUCCAGAAGAUGUUGGUGGAGUUGCUGGAGUAGCUCAGAAUACACAAAACACCUUGAGGCUAGUCAACAAAAGUGGUGAUGUUGUUCACUACAACUAUAUGAAGGACUACAAGGGCAACGCUCACAAGUGUUUGAUGGCAAAGACUGCCAUGGAAGAUGAGGAAGACCAAAGCUUCCAUGAUAAGGUUAAGGUAACUCCAUGGUUAACCUCCUUCAGUCUAACUUCUACUCCAUCUGAUGAGUAUCUUGAUGCGGAAGAUCACUAUGAGGAGAACGACUUAGAUCAUCCCAUGUUUGCUAAAAUAAACAAAUUUAUGUGCUCUCUUAAAGGAAAUAAGCUCACUAUGUUUCGCAUAAUUUUGGAAAUGGUGAGUAAGCACACCAAUACCAUCAAGGAACUCGAAACCCUCGUCACUGAGGAGAAGGAAAGAAAUGAAAUCCUUGAGCAGAAAGUCCUGUAUGAGGAAGCACAAAAUGAUGCAUUAUGCUCAAAAGUAGGUGAAAACCUUGAUAAACAUGCUAAUGAUAUUGCCUCCUUGAAAAAGGCUGAAUCUGUGUGCAAAGAAUUACUAAAUGAUAAAAACCGACUUGUGAACUCUCAUGCUUCUCUCUCUAAGGACUGUGAGCGUCUAUCCUUGUCUCUCAAAGACAAGGAAGAGAAACUCACUGUUCUUACAAAGAGCUUUGAGGCACUUAAGGUUACUUAUCUUGACACUUUAGCUAAGGCCUACUCCUCACCUAUCAUUAAUGUUGAUACCUGCGCUACUAACUCUAGUAGUGAACUGACAUCUAUCCUUGAGGAAAACUGUUCGCUAAAGGCACAGUUAGACACAGGUCUCGUGACAUGUGCACAAGGACAAAAGACUCUCAAUGAGAUCUUAAGUCGACACAAUGGAGGCUUCGUCAAGGAAGGGCUUGGGUUCAACCCAAGCACCACCAAGAAAAGUGCAUCUCCUCUCAAGUGUACCACUCCGCUUAAAGAAAUAUUUGUACGAGAGGGACACAAGGAGAAAGGUAAGGUUGUGAGUGGAUCGGCCACUAGGAGUUUGCCUACUCAUAACAAGACAACCGAAUUCAUGCCUCCAUCCUAUGUACAACGCAAAUCAAAGAAAGGAGAGGUUUAUGCUAAAUUUGUUGGUCCCCGUAAUGCAUUCCGAUUCUAUGCUAUUUGGGUCCCUAAGACUCUUGUAACUAAUGUGAAAGGCCCCAUGACAAAAUGGGUACCUCAAACCAAGUCUUAAUUCGUUACAGGAUGUUUUCUCCGGAGGAGCCAAAUGGGUGAUCGACAGUGGAUGCACCAAUCAUAUGACCGGAGAUAGUAACUUGCUCUAUGACUUCAUGCAAGCCAUCCGACCAUACAUGAGCAUUGUAUUUGGUGGAGGGUCGAAAGGGCAAGUAAUUGGGUUGGGCAAGGUGGCAAUCACUAUUGACAUGUCUAUUGCAAAUGUCAUGAUGUCCAAUCUCUUCAAUAUCAUUUACUUUCAGUUGGCCAAUUGGCUUCCGUCGGUUAUGACACAUUAUUUGGACUAAAGGAUGUGAAAGUCUUUAAGAGAGACACUCUCGAAGUGGCUUUUGUUGGAGAGUUGGAUGGCAACCUUUACACGAUUGAUUUCUCGAAAGAGAGCACCUUCCAUACAACUUGUCUAAUGGCCAAGGCCGACAUGGGAUGGCUGUGGCAUCACCAGCUCGCCCAUGUUGGCAUGAAAAAUCUUCAAAAUCUCUUAAACGGCAAUCACAUCCUUGGCCUAACAAAUGUAUCUUUGAAGAAAGAUCGUGUGUGCAGUGCAUGCAUAGCUGGGAAACAACAUCAAUCAAAACAUCCACCCAAGAACAUUGUAUCCACUUCGAGGCCGUUAGAGCUCCUUCAUGUGGAUCUGUUUGGGCCUCCUUCAUGGGCAAGUCUUGGAGGGAAAAAGUAUGGCCUAGUCAUUGUUGAUGAUUACUCAAGAUAUACAUGGGUGUUCUUUCUCAAGUCCAAGGACGAGACGAAGAUCACCUUCAUUGAUUUGGCCAAACAAGCCCAGCGGAAGUUUGACAAGGACAUCAAGGCACUAAGAAGUGAUAAUGGCUUUGAGUUCUAGAACUACACCCUAGAAGAAUUUCUUAGUGAUGAGGGAAUUGAACAUCAGUACUCCGCACCUUACACCCCUUAGCAAAUUGGUGUGGCAGAGAGGAAGAACCGGACACUUGUGGAAAUGGCAAGGUCCAUGUUAGACGAAUACAAGUCACCACAUAGUGUUUGGGUUGUGGCCGUCAACACAGCAUGUCAUGCAUCAAACCGGCUCUUCCUUCGAUCAAUAUUGGAGAAGACUCCAUAUGAGCUCCUAACUGGGAACAAUCCCAAUGUUAAGUACUUUCGUGUGUUUGGAUGCAAGUGUUUCAUCCUCAACAAACGGGAACGGUUAGGAAAAUUUCAAUCCAAAACAACUGAAGGGAUUUUUGUUGGCUAUGGGUCAAACUCUCACGCCUACAGAGUCUACAACAAAUCCACUAGAUGUGUUAUAGAAACCUGUGACGUGAUGUUUGAUGAAUUUAACCGCUCCCAUGGGGAGCAAGUUGAUCUAAAUGAUGCAGGUGAAGAAGACUCCCCACAAGAUAUCUUAAACAUGGGUGUAGGUGCACUUCUUCCCAUGGAACAAAGAUCCCAUGAUGAUGAUGAAGAUGAUGAAAGUAUUUCUCAUCCUCAAGACAGUUCACUGCCCGUACCUCCACAAGAUACUAGCACACACAUCAUGCCAGUUUUUGAGGAUCAAGUGGGAGAACAUGUCUCUCACCCUGAUCACACUCAAGAACAAGUUGAUCUUCAAGAGGUAGACCAAAGUAUGGGUAUGUUUGAUGAUGAACCUCAUAGGUGCAACGCGAAGAGGAAUAUCUUCCUCCGCACAUAAAUGAUCCAUAUGUUGAGGACGUUGAUGAUGGAAACGAAGUCGAACCUCGUGAAACCUUGACCUCCAUCAUGCCACGUGUGGUCGGUCGUGUUGAUAUUGAUCAAAUCCUCACCGGCGUGUCAGAAGGUAGAGUGACUCGUAAACAAUUAACAAACUUUUGUGCUCACUUUUCGUUUGUCUCUAGUACUAUGCCACACAGGGUUCAGGAUGCAUUGUGUGACAAUGACUGGCUCCUUGCUAUGCAAGAGGAGCUAAACAGUUUUACACGCAACGAAGUAUGGUCAUUGGUAGAACAACCAACUGAGGAAGACAAUGUCACUGGAACUAAAUGGAUUUUCAAGAACAAGGAAGAUGAGAAUGGGAAUGUCCUACGCAACAAGGCAAGGUUAGUAGCACAGGGGUACUCGCAAGUUCAAGGCUUGGACUUUGGUGAAACUUCCGCCCAUGUUGCUCGUCUUGAGUCUAUUCGCAUUUUAUUGGCCUAUGCUGCUUUCAAUGGUUUUACUUUGCAUCAAAUGGAUGUGAAAAGUGCUUUUCUUAACGGUCCUCUACAAGAAGAGGUAUAUGUAUCACAACCACCUGGGUUUGUUGACCCUCACCACAAAGACCAUGUAUACAAACUUCACAAGGCUCUGUAUGGCCUCAAACAAGCACCCCGUGCUUAGUACGAUCAUCUUAAGAAGUUCCUACUCGAUGAUGGCUUUGUGGUGGGGGUGAUCGAUCCCACUCUUUUUACUAAGAGGGAAAAUGGUGAUUUGAUCUUAUGCCAAAUCUAUGUAGAUGACAUCAUUUUUGGUUCUCCUAACAUCCAUUUAUGCAAGAAGUUUGCGGCCUCCAUGACCAAGACCUUUGAGAUGUCACUCAACACGGACUUGAAGUUCUUUCUUGGGUUUCAAAUACAACAAUUUCAAGAAGGGAUUUUCUUGUCUCAAACUAAGUAUCUCAAGGAUAUUCUUGAAAAAUUUGACAUGACAAAUGCUAAACCUAUGAAGACACCCAUGGCCACAGACGUAGUUCUAAAUGAAGACACCAACGGUAUUCCUUUUGACCCAUCUACUUACCGCUCCAUGAUUGGUUCGCUACUUUAUCUUUGCGCAUCUAGACCGGACAUCAUGUUAAGUGUAGGCAUAUGUGCUAGAUUUCAAGCUUCCCCUAGGGAAAGCCAUCAUACAGCGGUUAAGCAUAUUCUUAGAUACCUUGUUCACACCCCCAAAGUUAGGCUUAUGGUACCCUAAGGAUGCAAAGUUCGAUCUUAUUGGGUACUCCGAUGCGGAUUGGGCCGGUGACAAAGUGGGACGGAAAUCCACUUCCGGUGCAUGUCAGUUUCUUGGACGCUCCUUGGUAAGUUGGUCCUUGAAAAAGCAGAACUGUGUUUCUCUCUCCACGGCCGAGGCCGAAUAUAUUGCAGCCGCAAGCUGUGCAACCCAACUGCUAUGGAUGAGGCAAACACUAAAGGAUUAUGGUAUCACGUAUCGACACGUUCCUCUUAUAUGUGAUAAUGGAGGUGCCAUAAAGAUCUCCGAGAACCCCAUUGAUCACCCUCGCACUAAACAUAUUGAUAUUAGGUAUCAUUUCUUGAGAGACCAUGUGCAAAAGGGUGACAUUGAUAUUACCCAUGUGGGUACCGACAUGCAGCUAGCCGACAUUUUCACCAAGCCACUUAGCAUAGCUAGGUUCUGUCAACUUAGGCGUGAACUUGGUAUCUUGGAGCUUGACAACAUAACUUGAAACCUUGCACACAUACACACACUCACACUAUGUUUGUGUCUUGAUGUGGGCAUGCAUUUAGGGGGAGUGAGUCUUAAUUUUCUAUGUUCGUACUUUUUGUGAGAAACCAUGAAAAAUCAUCAUCUCAUCAGCAAAAAUUUCAGAACUAGCCUCUACCUCCUCUCUCUCGGUCGUCCGACGUGUCUCGGACGUCCGACGGCAAAUCCGAUUCCGGUCAUCCGACCAGUGUCGGUCGUCCGAUGGCACAAUCCCCUCCGGACGUCCGAAGCCUGUCGGACGUCCGACGCUUCGGGGCAUAUAAAUAGCUGGGCGCGGGGCUGGGCUUUGCCCUAGCCCUCACGCGCCCCCUUUUUCCCCUACCGCCGCCGCCGCCAGCUCCUGGAGCACUCGCCAGCGCCGCCCUUCUCGAGAUCUGCCUGAUCUCCUCCGCAGAUCCUUAUCUCCUUCCUCUUCUUCCUCCGCGGGAUCCGUCUACAGGUAUCUCCUCCGUUUCCCCUCGCGUUUGGUUCCCUCUCUCCCAAGUCUCCGUGUUCGUUCCUAUGGUUUGACCAUGUUCGUUCCUCAUUUGGGGUUUCCUUCCGUAUAGGUUAUUGAGCACCAUGCCCAAGACCAAGCAUGCCGCACGGAAGAACGUUGCUGGGUUAUCCUCUCGCGCCCCUACUAGCACGGGGUCGGACUCCGACGGGCCACGUCGUCCCUUCAAACGGACUGCCCGACGUUCUCCGCCUCCACAGCUCCCCUUGUCGUCUGAUGGUGAUGACUCCGACUUCGAGGAUGAGCUUGCCGCCGAGGACCUUGCUGACCAGCCCGCCUAUCGGAGGUCCAAGCCAAAGCCCGGGACUCGCAGGGCGUCCUACAUGCCACCACCUCCUCCUGCUCAGCCCGCAGGUGAAGCUCGUCGCAUCUCACUAGAACCCCCUGCUACCUUAGGUCGUGCAAUCACGAACUUCACCACACUUGCCAAGUCGUCAUACCUCACUUUCCGCUGUGACAUUGAUCAAUACGCUGUCGUACGUGACUCUACAGACUCACGUUUCCGCACACACGUCCAGGCGGACAUUUUUACUACAGUCAUAGUUCCUAAGGGUCUGUCUGUUCAUCUUUACAUAGAUCUUGAGCAUAUUCGCAUGCACCCGGCGAAAUACCCAGGUGCCAUUGAGCUUAUUGAGGCAUCGGGGCUUGCCGCCCCGUUUUCUUUUCAUCGCGAUUUUAAUGUUGCAGCCAUUCACCAGUUCUAUGCCACAUGCUACUUUGCUCCAAACCACACUGUCAGCUGGAUCACCACUGACGUUCGCUUCACAGCUACUUAUGAUACAUUUGUUGCCGCACUUGGUUUCCCCAACUCCGGCUUCAAAAUACAUAGGGAUGAUCCUAACCAUGCGCCUAAGUCCAUUGAGGCGUGUGGGUAUCUUCUCAAACCACUACGUGAGCUUGAUGCGGAUGACCGCAUGAAGGACCUUAACCAGGUAUCCAUCUGGCGCUCACCUUACUUCAUCAUUUUUCAGUGUCUCAUCCACACCAUCUAUCCCAAGAUGGGUGAUAAGGGCUGUUGCAGUGGCUAUUGUAUUGACAUCAUGUCUCACUUGCACGAGCACCCCAAGAGCAAAAUUAAUGUGCCUCAUUUUCUAUGGCAUGAGAUUCGACUUGCUAGCUUUCAGUACAAGCGAGCCUUUCCUCAUGCCCCCUUCAUCCAGGCUCUUAUUAACCAUGUUGCUCAUUUCUCUGUGGCUGUCACUCACACACAUCGCAAGUGGGUCAUUCCCGCUCACAUGGCGGAUGACUAUGCUCCCAAGAAAGCCCCAUCCUCCACAUCCACUCGCCGCACUGCUGCCCGGUCAGCCACCCCCUCAUCUAGCUCCGCUCCUCUCGGUCGCAUUGCCAAAUUCCUUGGCAAGGCACAUUCUGCUAUGAUGAGGGCCGUCUCUUUCCAGUGUGGUCAAACCCAUGAUGUGGUUUCUCGCUUAGUCUCCUCCAAGAAUGCCCUCAAGGCUCGUCUGAGAGCCUCGGGCGCUCUUUAUGUGAGUGAUGAUGAGGCCCCUCCUGCUGCUCCUCCUACUGACUUUGGCUUCCCAUCUGGUCCUGAGUGGGCUGAUUUCCUUGACGAGGCUGGUGGCAGUGGCUUGCCUGAUGAUGCUGAUGAGCUCUGAGCGUGGUUGGUGCUGUUGGUGCCUCCCUUUUUGGUACUUGGUGCCAAAGGGGGAGUAAUGUAUCGUAGUUUUUAGUCUUUGGAGAUUUAAUGUAAUGGAUAAACUCAUGUAUGGCUACUUAUGAAUGAUUGUGAUUGCUAUGGAUUGCUAUGAUAUCAUCAUAGACUAUUAUGUUUUGCUCCACUACUUCUAUGAUGAUCUAUUGUCUUUCUAUGAUGAUCUAUUAUCUUUACAUGUUGAUCCAUUAUAUGUUCGAUAAACACAUUAAAGGGGAGCUCCGAUACAUUAUCAUGCGUAUACUAAGGGGGAGCUCCGUACUAAAUAUCUCCUAGGCUAUAAUGUAUGUUAAAUCUUUUUGAGACCUAUGUAUAUGUUGUCAUCAACUACCAAAAAGGGGGAGAUUGAAAGUGCAUGCUAUGCCCCUAAUCGACUUUUGGUGUUAAUGACAACACAUACAUAGGAAACUAAUCCUAUUUGUUGAGUGUAUCUCACGAUGGCAAGUACUUUAGUAGAUUGAGAAUUAUGUGCCAAAGGUGGUCUGAGAAGAUCGGGAUUUAUGUUUCGAGAAGGCUCGGGAUUAAGAAAAGAUGAUGUAGACUAUUCUUUUGAGUUUACUGAUAUUGAGUAUAGGGAUCCCGCACUAUUAAGAGGGCAUCACAGGUUUUGCGAUGAACUUGCUCAUACCACAUCUUCACUGUCAUACCCAAUACCACAUAUUCUCCACUCUGUACCUAUCUCAAAACAGGUAUAUUGCCUCGGACUUCCGGCUCCCUCCGAACGUCCGAGGGCCGGACGACCGACAGGCUUCGGAAAUCCGGAGCCCUCCACCAGAAGAAUGUGAGUCAUAUAACUCAGAUUUCCGGCUCCCUCCGGACAUCCGAGGGCCGGACGUCCGACCAGCCUCGGAAAUCCGGAGCCCUGCACCAGAAGAACAUGAGCUCUAUAACUCGGAUUUCUGGCUCUCUCCGGACGUCCAUCCCCCCUUCGGAAAUCCGGAACCUCCCACCAGAAGAAGUUGAGUCGAAUAACUCGGAUUUCCGGUCCCCUCCGGACGUUUGGUCGCUGUUCAAUUCACAGUAUUUUCAGUCAUAUCUACAGGCCUCGGACGACCAACCCCUGUCGGACGUCCGACCUCUCGCGGACGCCCGGACUUCCAGAAACUGUCGGACGUCCGGACCCUGUGUGACUUAAAGUGUCCCCAACGGCUUUUUUUCACUCCCCACUAUAUAUACUCUUCUCCCACCUCGUGAGAGGGUGUUCAACACAGCUAGAAUACAUCCAAGAACACCUUUCUUCUCAUUCACUCUUGUCUACACCAAAUCCUAGAUCCCAAGAGCAUUUGUGAGUCCCUUUGAGUGUUGUUCCAAUCAAAAGAUAGAUCGUCUCCCUCUCCUCCUUCCCACCAAAGUGAUUUGUGAUUUGAGCAAGUUUUGAGCAAUCCUCGUGAUCUUGUUACUCUUGGAGGUUGGAGACUCCUAGGCGGUAGGAGUCUUAGGAGAGGAAUCAAACCAUUGUGAUUUCCCCCGGAAAGUUUGUGAAGGUUUGGAAGCAACCUCAAGGCUUACCACUAGUGGUUGAGAAACGCCUUCGUGGAGUUAUCUCAAAGGGAGAAUAGGGUGAGCCUUCAUGGCGUUGGUGUGCCUUCGUGGUAACAUCCGCCCCUCUAACGGUGACGUAGCUUCCCUCCAAGGAAGUGAACAUCGGGAUACAUCCUUGUCUCUCUUGGAGUUUUGGUUAUUCCUAACCCUAACUCUCUACUUGUGUUAAUCCUUAUUACGUACUUGUAUUUUAUUAUUGUUUACCGCUUGUCUUAAUUUACUCUAAAUAGCUUACUCCUUGUCAUAGCAAUUAUUAGGCCUACACUCAUAUUCCGCACUUUUGCCUAAAAUUGCUAAGUAAUUAUUAAAAUUUGGAACUGUACCUAUUCACCCCCCCUAUAGGUCCAUCUCGAUCCUUUUCAGUUACUUGUUGCAAGAUCUUUUCCGACACUGUUAUCGGGGAAGAAUAGUUACUUGCCCACGUGCAACACUGGCGCCAUUAAUACAACAGUUAGGAAUAGUUUGCCGUCAACAGAUCGUUUUUGGCACAGUUGCUAUCAUACUACUUUGCUACUGAUACUUUGCUUGCACACACUAAUCUUUCAGGUGUGGUUGAAUCUCACAAACUCAGCUGCUAAUACUCGAGAAUAUUCUUUCGUUUCCCCUUUGGCGAAUCAACAAAUUUGGGUCGAAUACUCUACCCUCGAAAACUGUUGCGAUCCCCUACACUUGUGGGUUAUCAAGACCUUUUUCUGGCGCCGUUGCCGAGGAAGCACAGCUAUAUUCUCUGAGUCACUUGGGAUUGACGUCUGCUGGUCAUUAUGAGGAAUCCGAGAGAUCCAAGAACUGAAAUCAUGCCCUCCACUACGAGGACAGGUAAGGAACUGCCAUCUAGUUCUGCACUUGAUUCAGCUUCAGUUUUGAGUAAGUUUGCGACUUCGCCUCCUGCUAGAAAUCUUGAUAUGUCGCCUGUGCUUGAUACUAUACCUGAUGAUGCUAUGCCUGAUACUAUGCCUGAUGAUGCUAUGCUUGAUACUAUGCCUGAUGAUGCCAUGCCUGAUACUGCUUUGCCACUAGGUGCAUUCCUUGAUGCACAACUUGCUAGAGUUGCUGCUAGACAUGAUGAUACUUCUGAAACUGCUGAUGCUAUUGAAGUAGAACCUGCUACUAUGCCUGAAUUGCCUGUUAUGCCUGCUACACGCUAUGUUAUGGAGGGAGAGAUAGCUGAGGACUUUCUUGCGUGUAAGGAUAGCUAUGAUGUUGAGAAACUUCUGCGCAAGUGGAAAGAAAAAUCUCUGAACGCUAGGAUGAAAUACGACCCGAAGUUUGCUACUUCGCCUAUCUUUGUGACCGAUAAGGAUUAUGAAUUCUCUGUCGACCCUGAGUUAAUCACUCUAGUCGAAUAUGAUCCUUUUCACGGUUAUGAGUCUGAAACGGUUGUAGCCCAUCUUACCAAACUGCACAAUAUAGCCACCCUAUUCACUACUGAGGAAAAGAUUCGCCACUACUACAUGCUCAAGCUGUUUCCUUUCUCGCUAAAGGAUGAUGCUAAGACCUGGUUCACUUCUCUUGCUCCUGGUUGUGUGCGUAGCCCCCAAGAUAUGGUCUACUACUUCUCUGAAAAAUAUUUCCCUGCCCAUAAGAAGCAAGCUGCCUUGCAGGAAAUAUACAACUUUGCUCAAGCUGAGGAAGAGAGUCUCCCACAAGCUUGGGGGAGGCUCAUCCAGCUACUGAAUGCUUUGCCUGAUCACCCUCUUGAGAAGAAUGAAAUACUUGAUAUCUUCUAUAAUGGACUUACCGAUGCUUCCAAAGACCACCUAGAUAGUUGUGCCGGUUGUGUUUUUAGGGAACGAACUGUAGAACAAGCUGAGAUCCUAUUGAAUAACAUCUCGUGCAAUGAGAAUGCUUGGACUAUUCCCGAACCACCUCCUAAGCCAACUCUGAAGAAAAGAGGUAUUCUAUUCCUCAGUCCUGAAGAUAUGCAAGAAGCCAAGAAAUCUAUGCGAGAGAAAGGCAUUAAAUCUGAAGAUGUCAAAAAUCUACCACCUAUCGAAGAGAUCCAUGGUCUUGAUAACCCGAUACAGGUAGUAGAAGUAAAUUCUCUGCGUAGGUUUGAUGAGAGUGAUAUUCCUUUUGAUAAACCUGCUAGCUUAUGCAUGGAUGAAUUUGAUAACUUUGUUGCCAAACAACAAAGCUUCAAUGAUUAUGUUAGCAGAAAAUUGGAACAAAAUGCUCGUAUGCUUAGUCAUUUAAGUGCUUGUGUGGACAGAAAUGUCAAUGAUCUUAAGCUUCUGAGUAAACAUGCCUCCAUGGUUACUACUCUAGUAGAACAAGUACUUAAAGCUCAGAAUGACUUGCUCAAUGAGCUGAAUGACAAUUCUGGCAGAGUCGUUAUGAGAGGCGGUAGAAUGACCCAGGAACCUCUGUAUCAUGAGGGUCAUCCGAAGAGAAUUGAACAAGAUUCUCAAGUAGUUAGCACUGAUGCACCUAGUCAUCCUUGAAAGAAUAAGAAAGAUGAUAGGAACCUGCACGCUAGCAACCCAGAUGCUGCUACACCUGAGAGUCCAAACGAUGCCUCUGUUUCUGAUGCUGAAACACAAUCUGGUGAUGAACAUGAGCCUAAUGAUAAUAUCAAUAGUGACGUUCAUUAUGAUGCUCAACCUAGCAAUGAUAAGGAUGUGGAGAUUGAACAUGUUGAUCUUGAUAACCCACAGCCUAAGAAUAAGAGAUACGAUAAGAAUGACUUCGCCGCUAGGAAGCAUGGUAAAGAAAAGGAACCAUGGGUUCAGAAACCUAUGCCCUUUCCUCCCAAACCAUCCAAGAAAAAGGAUGAUGAGGAUUUUGAGCGAUUCGUUGAGAUGAUCAGACCUGUCUUUCUGCAAAUGCGUUUGACGGAUAUGCUCAAGAUGUCUCCGUAUGCUAAGUACAUGAAAGAUACUGUGACUAAUAACAGGAGGAUACCUGAGGUUGAGAUUUCCACCAUGCUCGCUAAUUANUAAUUAGCGAGCAUGGCGGAGAUCUCAAGAUCAGGUAUCCUCCUCUUAUUAGUCACAAUAUCUUUCAUGUACUUAGCAUACGGAGACAUCUUGAGCAUAUCAGUCAAACGCAUCUGCAGAAAGACAGGUCUGAUCUUUUCAACGAAUCGCUCAAAAGCCUCAUCAUCCUUUUUAUUGGAUGGUUUGGGAGGAAAGGGCAUAGGUUUCUGAACCCAUGACUCCCUUUCUUUACCGUGCUUCCUAGCAGUGAAGUCAUUCUUAUCGUAUCUUCUAGUCUUAGGCAGUGGGUUAUCAAGAUCAACACUAGGUUCAGUCUCCACAUCCUUUUUAUUGCUAGGUUGAGCAUCUUCAUGAACAUCACUAUUGAUAUUAUCAUUAGGCUCAUGUUAAUCACCAUAUUGUGUUUCAGCAUCAGAGACAGAGGCAUCGUUUGGACUCUUAGGUGUAGCACCAACAGGGUUGCUAGCGUGCAGGUUCCUAUCAUAUUUCUUCUUCUUUCUAGGGUGACUAGGUGCAUCAGUGCUAACUCCUUGAGAAUCUUCUUCAAUUCUCUUCGGAUGACCCUCAGGAUACAGAGGUUCCUGGGUCAUUCUACCGCCUCUAGUGACGACUCUGACGGAAUUGUCAUUCAACUCAUUGAGCAAGUCAUUUUGACCUUUAAGUACUUGUUCUACCUGAGUAGUAACCAUAGAAGCAUGUUUACUCAGAAGCUUAAGAUCAUUGACGUUUCUGUCCACACAAGCACUUAAAUUACUACGCAUACAAGCAUUCUUUUCCAAUUGUCUGCUAACAUAAUCAUUGAAACUUUGUUGUUUGGUAACAAAGUUAUCAAAUUCGUCCAUGCAUAUGCUAGCAGGUUUAUCAAAAGGAAUAUCACUCUCAUCAAACCUACGCAGAGAAUUUACUUCUACUACCUGUAUCGGGUUAUCGAGACCAUGGAUCUCUUUGAUAGGUGGUGGUUUUUGACAUCUUCAGAUUUAAUGCCUUCCUCUCGCAUAGAUUUCUUGACUUCUUGCAUAUCUUCAGGACUGAGGAAUAGAAUUCCUCUUUUCUUCGGAAUUGGCUUAGGAGGUUGUUCGGGAAUAGUCCAAGCAUUCUCAUUGCACAAGUUGUUAUUCAGUAGAAUCUCAGCUUGUUCUACGGUUGUUCCCUAAAAACACUACCGGCACAACUAUCUAAGUGGUCUUUGGAAGCAUCGGUAAGUCCAUUAUAGAAGAUAUCAAGUAUUUCAUUCUUCUCAAGAGGGUGAUCAGGCAAAGCAUUCAGUAGCUGGAUAAGCCUCCCCCAAGCUUGUGGGAGACUCUCUUCUUCAGCUUGAGCAAAGUUGUAUAUUUCCUGCAAGGCAGCUUGCUUCUUAUGGGAAGGGAAAUAUUUUUCAAAGAAGUAGUAGACCAUAUCCUGGGGGCAACACACACAACCAGGAGCAAGAGAAGUGAACCAAGUCUUAGCAUCAUACUUUAGCGAGAAAGGAAACAGCUUGAGCAUAUAGUAGUGGCGGAUCUUUUCCUCACUAGUGAAUAGGCUGGCUAUAUCGUUCAGUUUGGUAAGACGGGCUACAACCAUUUCAGACUCGUAACCAUGAAAGGGAUCAGAUUCGACCACAGUGAUUAACUCAGGGUCGACAGAGAAUUCAUAAUCCUUAUCGGUCACUGCUAACGGCAGUCCCCGCCAAGGACACUAGAAGAAUGUUGUUGACGAGUCCCUGGCUUGAUGCCUUCACGACAACAGAGCCAGAACUACUCCCAGUUGCUCAACAAUUAUCAAUUGUCUUGCAAUGGCCCACCAGCGCGUGGGUUCGCGGCAGUUUUCGAGGGUAGAGUAUUCGACCCAAAUUUGUUGAUUCGCCAGACACAAAGUGAGAGGAUACUCUCGAGUAUUAGCAGCUGAAUGUGUCAGAUUCAACCACACCUGAAAGAUUAGUAUCUGCAAUUAAAGUAUCAGCAGCAAAGUAGGAUGAUAACAACGGUGUCAGAAACGAUCUGUUGACGGCAGACUAUUCCUAACUGUCGUCUCAAUGGCGCCAGAAGUUGCCCGUAGACGGAAAUAGUCUUUUCCCGUCAACGUCGAGCGAACCAGUAUUCUAGCAGGUAGCAUCAGUAUAAUGAGUAACAGCAGUGGCAAGGACAAGCAGUAGUGACAGCAAUAGCAAGUAGCAACACUAGCAAGUAGCAACACUAGCAAGUAGCAACACUAGCAAGUAACAGUAGUAGCAAGCGACAGUAGUAACAGCAGUAGCAAGUAGCAACAGUAGUAAUAGCAGAAGAGCAAAACAAGUCACAGAAGCAGUGGGACAAACUCGUAGGCAAUGGGUCGGUGAUUCGUUUGGAUGACAUUCAUCAUGCAACAGUUAUAAUACGGAGAGAUAUGUGGCUGGCUCCCGUUCGUCAAUGUGAUGUAGGCAUGCAUUCCGUGUGUAGUCAUACGUGCUUAGGGAAAAGAACUUGCAUGACAUCUAUUGUCCAUCCCUCCCGUGGCAGCGGGGUCCAAAAGGAUACUACAGGAUAUUAAGGUUCUCCUUUUAAUAAAGAACCGGAACAACGCAUUAGCACUUGGUGAACACAUGAACUCCUCAAACUAUGGUCAUCACCGGGAGUGGUUCCGGUUAUUUUCACUCCGGGGUUGCCGGGUCAUAACACAUAGUAGGUAACUAGAACUUGCAAGAUCGGAUCUAAAACACACAUAUAUUGGUGACAACAUAAUAAUUUAAGAUCUGAAAUCAUGGCACUCGGGCCCUAGUGACAAGCAUUAAGCAUGGCAAAGUAGUAGCAACAUCAAUCUCAGAACAUAGUGGAUACUAGGGAUCAAUCCCUGUCAAAACUAACUUGAUUACAUGAUAAAUCUCAUCCUACUCAUCACCACCCAGCGAGCCUACGAAUAGAUUACUCACGAAUGAUGAAGAGCUUCAUGGAAUUGGAGAGGGAAGAAGAUUGAUGAUGACGAUGACGACGAUUUCCCCUCUCUGGAGCCCAAAACGGACUCCAGAUCUGUCCUCCAGAUGAAGAACAGGAUGUGGCGGCGCCUCCGUAUCGCAAACGCGACGAAAUCUUCUCUUCUGAUUUUUUCUGGGCGAAAGUGAAUUUAUAGAGCUGAGUUUGGGUGCGGCAGAGCCACGUGGGCCCCACUAGCUUGGUUGCCGUGACCAGGGGGUGGCCGCGGCAACAGGGCUUGUGGCCCACUGGCCCAUCCCCUCCGGUGGAUCUUUGCGCAGGUAUUUUUCAUAUUUUCCAGAAAAAUUCUCCGUAAAUUUUCAGGACGUUCCGAGAACUUUCAUUUCUGCACAAAAACAACACCAUGGCAAUUCUGCUGAAAACAGCGUCAGUCCGGGUUAGUUCCAUGCAAAUCAUGCAAAUUAGAGUCCAAAACAAGGGCAAAAGAGUUUGGAAAAGUAGAUACGAUGGAGACGUAUGAACUCCCCCAAGCUUAAAAACUUGCUUGUCCUCGAGCAAUUCAGUUGACAAACUGAAAGAGAAAGAAAAACUUUGACAAACUUUGUUUGAUCUUGUUGUUGCAACUAUGUCUAACUCGUAACCAGAAUUUCAAAAAGAUCAAAAGUUAACCACAUAAGCAAGUGACACGAAGGUCUCACGGUAAACUAAUAUCAAGGGCAUAAUCAGCUACCGAGCAAAUAAUAAUGAGUUUCAGAUACCAACAAUUCAAUCAAAACAAGCAUGAAGCAAUAUGAAUAGGUGGUAUCUCGCUAGCUCUUUCUGAGACCGCAAAACAUAAAUGCAGAGCACUUUCAAAGAUCAAGGGCUGACUAAACAUUGUAAUUCAUAGCAACGAAGAUCCAGUCAUAGUCAUACUCAAUAUCAAUCAAAAGCAAAGCAUAAAAAUGACAGACAUGCUCUCUAAUUGGUGCUUAUAUAAGAAGAGGAUGACUCAACAGGAAAAUAAAUAGACACGCCCUUCGCAGAGGGAAGCAUUGAUUUGCAGAGGUGCCAGAGCUCAAGCUUUGAAAACAGAGAUAAUAAUUUUAGGUGGCAUGCUUUCAUUGUCAAUGCAAUGACCAAGAGUUCUCAAUAUCUUCCACGCCACUCAUGAUAUAGGCGGUUCCCAAACAGAAAAGCAAAGUUUUAACUACCCUACCACCAAUCAAUCACACUCCACGGCUAGCCGAAUCCUCGGGUACCGUCCAUACUAACAUCAAUUCGGGGGGAGUCUUGUUUUACAGUUAUGUUUUCGAUUUAAGCGUGGAACUUGGCAUUCCAAUUACCGGCCCCUUUCCCGUGAAUGACAGUGAAUAAACACAUGUCGAGGAUAACACGCCUAACAUGGAAGAUACCAAUAGCCCCCUGUCACCACAUGAGCGGUUCGGGCAUGCAAAACAGAUUAUUUCUUGAAGGUUUUAGAGAAUGGCACAUGCAAAUUUACUUGGAACGGCAGAUAAAUACCGCACAUAGGUAGGUAUGGUGGACUCUCAUGGAAAAACUUUUGGGUUUAUGGAAGUGGAUGCACAAGCAGUAUUCCGCUUAGUACAAGUGAAGGCUAGCAAAAGACUGGGAAGCGACCAACUAGAGAGCGACAACAGUCAUCAAGAUGCAUUGAGUUUGACUAACAUGGAAUGCAAGCAUGAACAGGAUAUAAAUCACCAUGAACACGAACAUCAUAGAGGCUAUGUUGAUUUUAUUUCAACUACAUGCAUGAACAUGCGUCAAGUCAAGCCACUUGAAUCAUUCAAAGGAGAAUACCAUCCUAUCAUACUACAUCAUAGUCAUCUCAAAAUCUACGUUGGCAUUCAAGACAAACCAUUAUAAGCUCCUAGCUAAAUAAGCAUGGCAUCAGAAACUAUGAUCUCUAAGUUGUCAUUGCAAACAUGGUUCUCUCACAACAAAGUUGAAUCUGGAAUGACAAGCUAUUCAUAUUUACAAAAACAAAAUAGAUAGAGUUCAUACCAGCUUUUCCAGUCUCAGUCACUUCAUCAUAUAUCAUCAUUAUUGCCUUUCACUUGCACGAUCGAACGAUGUGAACCAUAAUAAGCGUGCUCGUGCAGUGGACUAAGCUGAAUCUGCAGGCAAACACAAAGGAGAAGACAAAGUAAUAUGGCUCUUUGAAAUCUAAACAGGUAUGCAUGCAAGAGCCACUAAACAUUGUAACCAAUAUCUUCUACCUUGACCCAAAGAAAAAGAAAAGUAUUUACACGGGAAAGCUCCCAACAAGCAAAAAGAAGAAAGGAAAAUCUUUUUGGGUUUUCUCAAGAGGACACAAAACAAGAAAACAAAAAUAAACUAGCAUGGAUAAUACAGUGGCAAAGUGUGAACACCGACGAACAAAGUGAAAGCAUAAGCAUGAAUGUAAGGUCGGUGAGAACACGUACUCCCCCAAGCUUAGGCUUUUGGCCUAGCUUUGUCUACUCCCAAGGCGGGAAAUAACCAGCACCGAGAUACUCUGGAGCGGAGUGUGGAUGCCACUGCUGUGUCAGCUCCUCUGGCUCCCACUAAUAAACUUGCGUCUGGUACUCGACUGGCGGUUCGGGCACGGGUACCUGUGGUUGGGCUAAGCCCCAAUAUGCGUAGAUGUCCGAGGGCAUAAUAGUGUACAUGCCUGCAUGAAGAUCGAACAAAGAAGGAGCCGGCAAAUUAAUAGUCUCUCAAGUACCCUCACUAAAUACCAUGUUAUAAAUCAUCCGUCUACUAGCAUCUCUAUCGAGAAAAUCAUGGUGAACCAUGUUGUCAUAAUCCAGAUAUUUCUCAGGAAGAAGCAUCUCUUCUUCCUCGCGAAGUCUAAUAGGUAUCUCAAAGUGUCUAGCAAGACGAGUAGCAUAGAUACCUCCAUAGAUGACAAUUUCGGAACGGUUUGUGUUCAACCGCUGAGCUACUAUAGCACCUAGGCUAUAAGUCUUAGUGCUAUAAAGGCCUUCGCGCAAAACCGCAAGGUCUGGAGAGCUAAGUGAUCCAGACUCCCCACGGCCAAUGAAACAUUUUCCCACAAAUAGUGAGAAGUACCGAAGCAUAGGAAAAUGUAUGCUAGCAAUUCUAGCGCGAGACAUUCCUCUCUCCUCUCCAACAGCAAUAGUACCUAUGAAAUCCUCCAAGUCCCGUGGACGAGGAUCAUGAAUAUCCCCAACAUAAGGUAAUUUGCAUGCAUUGCAAAAAUCCUGUAGUGUCAUGCACUGGGGGAUAUCGUACAACAUGAACUCAACCAUGGGAGGAUUCUUCCUCGGAUAAAAGUUGAAGCUUUGAACGAAAAUAUUGGUGAGGAGGAGGUAUUGUGAGCACUUAUCUUCAACGAACGCGGUAAGACCUGCGUUCUCCACCAAGUAAUAAUAGUCUUCAUAAAGCCCGGUGGCGCGUAAAAAUUCAUCACUUGGCCACUCGCGCGCUCGAAUUUCUGUGACUCGAGGAACCACGUACUUGGGGUGGUUCUUCUCAUCUUCCUUGGGGUUACGGCUUGAAGAGCCUCUCAAGAACCUCCUCAUCUUUUUCCUUUUCUAGCUCUGAAAAUUUCUGAAAUUUUUAGAGACUUCGAAAGAAAUGUGAAUAAAGAUUAACCCAACUCGUAGCAACUACUCCUACUAGUGCCUAGAGACCGUAUCAGGCGCUAAAUCUACUUGGGACCAGCUAAAAUCAACAUUUCAAGCUCAAGAACAGGGUCACCAAGGUAGCAAUAAUACGCGAAGGAUAAAGCACUAGAGCAAAAACUAAUUGGACCAAUGGAGGAGUCACUUACCAAGGAGCAAUUUCCCCAAAACAGUUCGGAGAAUGAUGCUUUGAGCAAGGAGAUCGAAAAUCACAGCCAAAUGAGCAAGAACACGGGUUUGAGCUCCGAAACAAUUUUUUCUGGAGGUAGAGGAAGAGGAUGGGAGCUGGAAUGAGUGGAGGGGCCCCUGUGGGCCCCACAAGCUUGCUUUACGCGGCUAGGGGGUGGCCGCGGUGACAGGGCUUGUGGCCCACUGGGGUGGCCCCGAGGCCAGCUCUCAGUCCCAGUAUUUUUCAAAUAUUCCAGAAAAAAUCAUACUAGAUUUUCAGGACCAUCGGAGAACUUUUAUUUUCGGGGUAUUUUUCUCCGGGACGCUAAAACAGAAAACAGGAAAAAAAAUUCUUCUAAGUAAAAUAAAGUGAAACCUUAAAAUAGAGGUAUGUGACUCUUUCAUUCAUCCAUUUCAUGGUCAUCGAAAGAAAUCCGUCAAUGGGGUUGAUCAAAUCCUUAUGACAAAACUUUCUCGAAUCGCAAGAGAGAACGGAGAAUUUUCGAAUAACCACUAGGUCACCUCAAUGGGGAUAUGAAUCUCCCCAACAAGCAAAUCAUACUUCAUCUUGGCACGAGGAAUAGGGCAUUCAAAGCUCCCAAUAAGAAUCGAUGAAGUUUUUUUGAUAGCAUUGAUGCAAUGUACUUGAUAUCGUUUCUUCGGAAAGUGCACGGUAUGCUCAUUACCGUUGACAUGGAAAGUGACAUUGCCUUUGUUGCAAUCUAUAACAGCCCCUGCAGUGUUCAAAAAGGGUCUUCCGAGGAUGACAGCCAUGGCAUCGUCCUCGGGAAUAUCCAAGAUAACAAAGUCUGUUAAGAUAGUGGUAUUAGCAACCACAACAGGCACAUCCUCGCAAAUGCCAACAGGGAAAGCAGUUGAUGUGUCGGCCAUUUGCAGAGAAAUUUUAGUGGGUGUCAACUUAUCCAAUUCAAGUCUACGAUAAAGAGAGAGAGGCAUAACACUAACUUCGGCUCCAAGGUCACAUAAGGCAGUUCUUACGUAGUUUCCUUCAAUGGAGCAAGGUAUAGUGGGCACUCCGGGAUCACCAAGUUUCUUAGGAGUUCCACCUUUGAAAGUGUAAUUGGCAAGCAUGGUGGAGAUCUCAAGAUCCGGUAUCUUCCGUUUAUUGAUCAUGAUAUGUUUCAUGUACUUGGCAUACAGAGACAUUUUGAGCAUAUCAACUAACCGCAUCUGCAAAAAGACAGGUCUUAUCAUUUCAAUAAAGCGCUCAAAAUCCUCAUCAUCCUUUUUCUUGGAUGGCUUAGGAGGAAAGGGCAUAGGUCUCUGAACCCAUGGCUCUCUUUCUUUACCAUGCUUCCUAGCAGUGAAGUCAUUCUUAUCGUAUCUCUUAGGUUGUGGGUUAUCGGGAUUAACUGUAGGUUCAAUCUCCACAUCCUUAUCAUUGCUAGGUUGAGCAUCAUUAUGAACAUCGUUGUCCACAUUGUCACCAGGUUAAUGUUCAUCACCAGAUUGUGUUUCUACAUCAGACGCAGAAAUAUCAUUUGGUUCUUCAGGUGUGACAGUAUUUGGUGAACUGACAUGCAGGUUUCUAUCAUCCUUCUUCUUCUCCUUAGGAUGACUAGGUGUAUCAGCAUUAAUUCCUUGAGAAUCUUGAUCAAUUCUCUUAGGAUGACCUUCAGGAUACAAAGGUUCCUGAGUCAUUUUGCCUCCUCUAGUAAUGACUCUGACAGAGUUGUCAUUUAAUUCAUUGAGCAAGACAUUUUGAGCUUUAAGUACUUGUUCUACCUGAGUAGUAAUCAUAGAGGCAUGUUUACUCAGAAGCUUCAGAUCAUUGACAUUUUGUCUACACAAGCACUUAAAUGACUAAGCAUACGAGUACUUUGUUCCAAAUGUCUGCUAACAUAAUCAUUGAAACUCUGUUGUUUGGCAACAAAGUUGUCAAAUUCAUCAAAGCAUAGGCUAGCAGGUUCAUCAAAAGGAGUAUCACUCUCAGCAAACCUACACACAGAAUUUACUUCUACUACCUGUAUCGGGUUAUCGAGACCAUGGAUCUCUUCGAUAGGUGGCAGAUUUUUGACAUCUUCAGAUCUAAUGCCUUUCUCUUGCAUAGAUUUCUUGGCUUCUUGCAUAUCUUCGGGACUGAGGAAUAGAAUACCUCUUUUCUUCGGAGUAGGCUUAGGAGGUGGUUCGGGAAUAGUCCAAGCAUUAUCGUUGAUCAAGAUGUUAUUCAGUAGGAUCUCAGCUUGUUCUAUAGUUUGUUCCCUAAAAACACAACCGGCACAACUAUCUAGGUGGUAUUUAGAAGCAUCGGUAAGUCCGUUAUAGAAGAUAUCAAGUAUCUAUUUCUUCUUAAGAGGGUGAUCAAGCAAAGCAUUCUGUAGCUGGAGGAGCCUCCCCCAAGCUUGUGGGGGACUCUCUUCUUUGAGUUGAGCAAAGUUGUAUAUUUCCUGCAAGGCAGCUUGCUUCUUAUGGGCAGGGAAAUAUUUCUCACAGAAUUAAUAGACCAUAUCCUGGGGACUACUCACACAUCCAGGAGCAAGAAAAGUGAACCAGGAUUUAGCAUCAUCCUUUAGAGAGAAAGGAAACAGCUUAACGAUAUAGUAGUGGCGGAUCUUCUCCUCACUCGUGAAAAGGGUGGCUAUAUCGUGUAGUUUGGUAAGAUGGGCUACGACCGUCUCAGAUUCAUAACCGUGGAAAGGAUCAGAUUUGACUAGAGAGAUUAUCGCAGGAUCGACAGAGAAUUCAUAAUCCUUAUCGGUGAUAAAGAUAGGUGAAGUGGCAAACUUCGGGUCGUAUUUCAUCCUAGCUUUCAGAGAAUUUUCCUUCCACUUGAGAAGUAAUUUCUCGGCGUCAUAGGCAUCCUUACAUGCAAGAAAAUCCUCAGCUAUCUCUCCCUCCAUAACGUAACCCUCAGGUAUAUCAGGCAAUUCAUAUCUAGGAGAGCUAGAUCUAGCAGGAGCAAAAGCAGGUUCUAUCUCAACAGUAUCGGCAGUUUCAAAAGCAUCACAAGCAUUGGCAGUAACUCUAGCAAUAUGAGCAUCAAGGAAUACUCCUAGUGGCACAUCAGGAAAAGUAGUAUCUCUAGCAGUAUCAAGCAUAGCGUCAUCAGGAAAAAUAGCAUCUCUAGCAUCAUCAGGCAAAGCAAUAUCAGGCAUAGCAUCUCUAGCAGUAUGAGGCAUAGCAUCUCUAGCAGUAUCAAGCAUAGUAUCUCUAGCAAUAUCAGGCAUAGCAUCUCUAGAAGUAUCAAGCAUAGUAUAUCUAGCAGUAUCAGGCAUAGCAUCUCUAGCAGUACUAGGCAUAGUAGCAUCAAACAUAGUAGCAUCAUAAGCAUCAUCAAGCACACGCGACAUAUCAAGAUUUCUAGCAGGAGGUGAUGUCACAAACUUACUCAUACCUGAAGGUGAAUCAAGUGCAGAGCUAGAUGGCAGUUCCUUACCUCCCCUCGUGGUUGAGGGCAAGACUUUAGUUUUUGGAUCUUUCAGAUUCUUCAUAGUGAUCAGUAGAUAUAAAUCCCAAGUGACUCAGAGAAUAUAGCAAUACCUCCCCGGCCACGACGCUAGAAAAAUGCUGCUAACGGCAGUCCCCGGCAACGACACUAGAAGAAUGUUGUUGACGAGUCCCUAGCUUGAUGCCUUCACGACAACAGAGCCAGAACUGCUCCCAGUUGCUCAACAAUUAGCAGUUGUCUUGCAAUGGCCCACCAGCGCGUGGGUUCGCGACAGUUUUCGAGGGUAGAGUAUUCGACCCAAAUUUGUUGAUUCGCCAGACAGGAAGUGAGAGGCUACUCUCGAGUAUUAGCAGCUGAAUGUGUCAGAUUCAACCACACCUAAAAGAUUAGUAUCUGCAAGCAAAGUAUCAGCAGCAAAGUAGGAUGAUAACAACGGUGUCAGAAACGAUCUGUUGACGGCAGACUAUUCCUAACUGUCGUAUCAAUGGCGCCAGAAGUUGCCCGUAGACGGAAAUAUUCUUUUCCCGUCAACGUCGAGCUAACCAGUAUUAUAGCAGGUAGCAGCAGUGUAACGAGUAACAGCAGUGGCAAGGAAUAGCAGUAGUGACAUCAAUAGCAAGUAGCAACAGUAGCAAGUAACAGCAGUAGCAAGCGACAGUAGUAACCGUAGUAGCAAGUAGCAACAGUAGUAACAGCAGCAGAGCAAAACAAGUAACAGCAGCAGUGGGACAAACUCGUAGGCAAUGGGUCGGUGAUUCGUUUGGAUGACAUUCAUUAUGCAACAGUUACAAUACGGAGAGAUAUGUGGCUAGCUCCCGUUCGUUAAUGUGAUGUAUGCAUGCAUUCCGUGUGUAGUCAUACGAGCUUAGGGAAAAGAACUUGCAUGACAUCUAUUGUCCAUACCUCCCAUGGCAGCGGGGUCCAAAAGGAUACUACAGGAUAUUAAGGUUCUCCUUUUAAUAAAGAACCGGAACAACACAUUAGCACUUGGUGAACACAUGAACUCCUCAAACUAUGGUCAUCGCCGGGAGUGGUUCCGGUUAUUGUCACUCCGGGGUUGUCGGGUCAAAACACAUAGUAGGUAACUACAACUUGCAAGAUCGAAUCUAAAACACACAUAUAUUGGUGACAGCAUAAUAAUUUCAGAUCUGAAAUCAUGGCACUCGGGCCCUAGUGACAAGCAUUAAGCAUGGAAAAGUAGUAGCAACAUCAAUCUCAGAACAUAGUGGAUACUAGGGAUCAAUCCCUGUCAAAACUAACUCGAUUACAUGAUAAAUCUCAUCCUACUCAUCACCGCCCAGUGAGCCUAUGAAUAGAUUACUCAUGAACGAUGAAGAGCUUCAUGGAAUUGGAGAGGGAAGAAGGUUGAUGAUGACGAUGGCGACGAUUUCCCCUCUCAGGAGCCCAAAACGGACUCCAGAUCUGUCCUCUAGAUGAAGAACAGGAUGUGGCGGCGCCUCCCUAUCGCAAACGCGAUGAAAUCUUCUCUUCUGAUUUUUUUCUAGGCGAAAGUGAAUUUAUAGAGAUGAGUUUGGGGCGGUAGAGCCACGUGGGCCCCACAAGUUUGGUUGCCGCGGCCACGGGGGUGGCCGCAGCAAUAGGGCUUGUGGCCCACUGGCCCAUCCCCUCCGGUGGAUCUUUGUGCAGGUAUUUUUCAUAUUUUCCAGAAAAAUUCUCCGUAAAUUUUCAGGACGUUCCGAGAACUUUCAUUUCUGCACAAAAACAACACCAUGACAAUUCUGCUGAAAACAGCGUCAGUCCGGGUUAGUUCCAUUCAAAUCAUGCAAAUUAUCGUCGAAAACAAGGGCAAAAGAGUUUGGAAAAGUAGAUACGAUGGAGACGUAUGAGUCACAAGGAUAGGUGAAGUGGCAAACUUCGGGUCGUAUUUCAUCCUAGCGAUCAGAGAUUUUUCUUUCCACUUGCGCAGAAGUUUCUCAACAUCAUAGCUAUCCUUACAUGCAAGAAAAUCCUCAGCUAUCUCUCCCUCCAUAACAUAGCGCGUAUCAGGCAUAACAGGCAUAGUAGCAGGUUCUACUUGAAUAGUAUCAGCAGUUUCAGAAGUAUCAUCACAUCUAGCAGCAAUUCUAGCAAUAUGUGCAUCAAGGGCACCAAGUGGCAAAGCAGUAUCAGGCAUAGCAGGCAUAGUAUCAAGCAUAGCAUCAUCAGGCAUAGUACCUAGCAUAGCAUCAUCAUAAGCAUCAUGGGCAGCAGAAGUAGCAUCAUCAAGCACAUGCGACAUAUCAAGAUUUCUAGCAGGAGGUGAAGUUGCAAACUUACUCAAAACCAAAGGUGAAUCAAGUGCAGAGCUAGAUGGCAGUUCCUUACCUCUCCUCGUAGUGGAAGGUAGGAUUUUAGUUCUUGGAUCUUUCGGAUUCCUCAUAAUGAUCAGCAGACGUCAAUCCCAAGUGACUUAGAGAAUAUAGUUAUGCUUCCCCGGCAACGGUGCCAGAAAAAGCCUUUAUGUCCCACAAGCGUAUGGGAUCGCAGCAGUUUUCGAGGGUAGAGUAUUCAACCCAAAAUUAUUGAUUCGCUCACAAGGUGAAGCUAAAGAAUAUUCUCAAGUAUUAGCAGCUGAGUUGUCAAUUCAACCACACCUGAAAGAUUUAGUGUCUGCAAGCAAAGUAUCAGUAGCAAGGUAGUAUGAUAGCAACGGCACCAGAAAAAGCUUUGACAAUCCCCGGCAACGGCGCAAGAAAAAGCCUUGAUGUCCCACAAGCGUAUGGGAUCACAGUAGUAAGUAACAACAGUAGUGACAGUAGCAGCAAGGAACAGUAGUAAAAGACUCGUAGGCAGUGGAUCGGUGAUGGAUGAGUAUGCCAGAUGUGAUUCAUCAUGUAACAUCUAUAACACGGAGAGAUAAGUAACUAGCUCCCGUUCGUCAAUCUAAUGUAGGCAUGUAUUCUAUAUGUAGUCAUGCGUGCUUAGGGAAAAGAACUUGCAUGACAUCUAUUGUCCAUCCCUCCCGUGGCAGCGGGGUCCUAAUGGAAACUACGGGAUAUUAAGGUCCUCCUUUUAAUAAAGAACCGGGCCAACGCAUUAACACGCGAUGAAUACAUGAACUCCUCAUACUAUGGUCAUCUCCGGGAGUGGUUCCGGCUAUUGUCACUCCGGGGUUGUCGGGUCAUAACACAUANNNNNNNNNNNNNNNNNNNNNNNNNNNNNNNNNNNNNNNNNNNNNNNNNNNNNNNNNNNNNNNNNNNNNNNNNNNNNNNNNNNNNNNNNNNNNNNNNNNNAGACCCAAUCCUAAGCAUAGCACUAGAUCGUAUUGUUCGUAUGCUAAAGCUUUUCUAAUGUCAAGUGUCUUUUCCUUCGACCGUGAGAUUGUGCAACUCCCGGAUAUCGUAGGAGUGCUUUGGGUGUAUCAAAUGUCACAACGUAACUGGGUGACUAUAAAGGUGCACUACGGGUACCUCUGAAAGUGUCUAUUGGGUUGGUACGAAUNGGUUACCGAAAGUUGUCCAGAGUCCCGGAUGAGAUCCCGGACGUCACGAGGAGCUCCGGAAUGGUCCGGAGGUAAAGAUUGAUAUAUAGGAUGGAUGGGUUUGGACACCGGAAAUGUUUCGGGCAUCACCGGUAGCGUACCGGGACCACCGGAAAUGGUCCCGGGGGGUCCACCGGGAGGGGCCACCAGGCCCAAGAGGUAGCAUGGGCCAAAAGAGGGAGGGAAAGCAGCCCAAAGUGGGCUGGUGCGCCUCCCACAAGAGGCCCAAGGCGCAGGAGGGAGGGAAGGGGGGGACCCUGGCGCUGGUGGGCCUAAGGCCCACCUAAGGGGUGCGCCACCCCUCCCCGUGCCAUUGCCGCCACACCUCCCAUUUGGGGGGCUGCUGCACCACCUAGGGGGGAAACCCUAGGGGUGGAACCCCCUCCCCUGCUCCUAUAAAUAGAGAGGGGUUUGGGGAUGUUUUGCACAUGGUUUCUUCUCCUCUCGGCGCAGCCCUGCUCCCCUCCUUCCUCCUCCUCCCACGGUGCUUGGCGAAGCCCUGUCGGGAGACGUCGUCUCUCCAUCGACACCACAGCAUCCUGCUUCUGGAGAGCUUCCCCGACCUCUCCCUCCUCUUUGCUGGAUCAAGGUGGGGGAGACGUCACUGAUAACCCACAAGUGUAGGGAUCACAACAGUUUUCGAGGGUAGAGUAUUCGACCCAAAUGUGUUGAUUUGCCAAAGGGGAAACGAAAGAAUAUUCUCGAGUAUUAGCAGCUGAGUUUGUCAAAUUCAACCACACCUGAAAGACUAGUGUCUGCAAGCAAAGUAUCAGUAGCAAAGUAGUAUGAUAGCAAUGGUGCCAGAAACGAUCUAUUGACGGCAGACUAUUCCUCACUGUUGUAUCAAUGGUGCCAGUGUUGCACGUGGGCGAGUAAUUAUUCUUCCCCGACAACAGUGUCGGAAAAGAUCUUGCAACAAGUAACAGUGAAGUAGCAAGGAACAACAGUAGCAGCAGUGAUACGUCUCCGUCGUAUCUACUUUUCCGAACUCUUUUGCUAUUGUUUUGGACUCUAAUUUGCAUGAUUUGAAUGGAACUAACCAGACUGAUGCUGUUUUCAGCAGAAUUGCCAUGGUGUUGUUUUUGUGCAGAAAUAAAAGUUCUCGGAAUGUCCUGAAAAUUUACGGAGAUUUUUUCUGGAAUAAAGGAAAAAUACCUGCGCAAAGAUCCACAUGAGGGGGCGUGUGAUGUCAGCUGUGCUUCCCUGGCAACGGCGCCAAGAAUAGUCUUGUCGACGGCACCAAGAAUCCUUCUGCUGCGGCUACGCCUUAAGGGACUUCCUAGGCAAAUAUGCAAAGGAUUUCCCCCGUGGCCUUGGAGCCUUGCAUUGGUGUUCCCUCGAAGCGGAAAGGGUGAUGUAGCACAGCGGUGGUAAGUAUUUCCCCCAGUUUGAGAACCAAGGUAUCAAUACAGUGGAGGAGUAUCACAAGAUCCUGCACAAACACAAAAGGUUUGCUCCCAACGCUAUGAAGGGGUUGUCAAUCCCUUAUAGAUUGUUCGCCAAGUGAGAACUGAAAGCAACAAAGUAACAAAGCAAAGUAGAAGCGAAGGUGUAAACGAUGGAUGUGAAUAGACCCGGGGGCCGUAGUGUUUACUAGUGGCUUCUCUCAUGAAAGCAAGUAGACGGUGGGUGAACAAAUUACUGUCGAGAAAUUGAUAGAACCGCGCAAAGUCGUGACGAUAUCUAUGGCAAUGAUUAUAUCUAUAGGCAUCACGUCCAAAACAAGUAGACCGAUACUUUCUGCAUCUACUACUAUUACUCCACACGUCGACCGCUAUCUAGCAUGCAUCUAGUGUAUUAAGUCCAAAAGAACAGAGUAACGCCUUAAGCAAGAUGACAAGAUGUAGAUGGACAAUCUCAUAUCGACGACAGAGCCCAUCUUGUUACCCUUGAUGGCAACUACUUAAUGUGUGCCUUGCUGCCCCUACUGUCACUGGGAAAGGUCACCACAUGGUAGAACCCAAAACCAAGCACUUCUCCCAUUGCAAGAAUCAUAGAUCUAGUUGGCCAAACAAAACCCAAGACUCGAAGAGACUUACAAGGAUAUCAAAUCAUGCAUAUAAGAAAUCAGCAAAGACUCAAAUAUAUAUCAUAGAUAAUCUGAUCACAAAUCCACAAUUCAUCGGAUCUCGACAAACACACCGCCAAAGAAGAUUACAUCGGAUAGAUCUCCAUGAAGAUCAUGGAGAACUUUGUAUUGAAGAUCCAAGAGAGAGAAGAAGUCAUCUAGCUACUAACUACGGACCCGUAGGUCUGAAGUGAACUACUCACGAGUCAUUGGAGGGGCAAUGAUGAUGAUGAAGAAGCCCUCCAACUCCAAAGUGCCCUCCGGCAAGGUGCCGGGAAGGGUCUCCAGAUGAGAUCUCGCGGAAACGGAAGCUUGCGGCGGCGGGAAAGUAUUUUCGAGGCUCCCCUGAUUUUUUGCUGUAUUUUAGGGAAUAUAUAGGCCAAAGAUCUAGGUCAGGGGGCGGCUAGGGAGGCCACAAGCCCUGCCACCGCCGCCUCCCCAAAGUCAGAUUUGAAAAGAGCCAAAAACACAGAAAAAACAGGAACUGGCACUUGGCACUGAAUUGAUAAGUUAGUCCCAAAAAAUAUAUAAAAGGUACAUAAAACAUCCAAAGAUGACAAGAUAACAGCGUGAAACCAUCAAAAAUUAUAGAUACGUUUGAGACGUAUCAGCGUGCCAGUGGGCCACAAGCCCACAUGCCGCGGCCACCCCCUAUGGUCGUGCCGUGCGGGCUUGUGUGGCGCACGUGGCACCACCGCCCCAAAUCUCAGCUCUAUAUCUUCCGUUUCGCCUAGAAAAAAAAUUAGAGAGAAGGUUUCAUCGUGUUUUGCGAUACGGAGGUGCCGCCACAUAUUGUUCUUCAUCCGGAGGGCAGAUCUGGAGUCCGUUUCGGGCUCCGGAGAGGGGAAAUCAUCGCCAUCGUCAUCAUCAACCUUUCCCCAUCGACAAUUCCAUGAUGCUCUUCAUCGUUCGUGAGUAAUCUCAUCGUAGGCUUGCUGGACGGUGAUGAGUUGGAUGAGAUCUAUCAUGUAAUCGAGUUAGUUCUUGACGGGGAUUGAUCCCAAGUAUCCACUAUGUUCUAGAUUGAUGUUGCUACUACUUGGCUAUGCUUAAUGCUUGUCACUAGGGCCCGAGUGCCAUGAUUUCAGAUCUGAACCUAUUAUGUUGUCGCCAAUAUAUGUGUGUUUUAGAUCCUAUCUUGCAAGUUGUAGUCACCUACUAUGUGUUAUGACCCGNNNNNNNNNNNNNNNNNNNNNNNNNNNNNNNNNNNNNNNNNNNNNNNNNNNNNNNNNNNNNNNNNNNNNNNNNNNNNNNNNNNNNNNNNNNNNNNNNNNNGUAGCCGGUUCUGCCCAGUCUGCCGUUUCGAGAUGCCUCCCCUGUCCGCUGACGAGCCGGAGCCGGUGGCUGAGAAAGCCGCUACGACAUCUGAACAAGUUGGCAGCAACUCAACUGGAGAAUGCCCAUCCACUGAGUGAGUCACUCUGCUUGCUGCCGUCCCUGUUUAUGUUCAUCUGAAUAUCUGAUUAGCGAUCACAGAUAGUGUAAUUUUGUUCGAGAUUACUGUCCUCAAUGUUUAUCAAAACUACCACUUCGUAUCGAACCUUGAAACAAAUCUCACCAUCUCAGUGGUGACUCCUCACCCUAUACAUGAAUCGAGGUUAUUGAUUGGUUGAGUUUACAAAGUUCAUUAUUCUUCCGGUAAAAUUGUUCUAGUCAUAAUGUAUCGAUGUAAUGCCUUAUUGAAAUAUAUCUGGAACAAUCAUCAGAAUACUUUAUCGAGUCCGGGGCUGGACAGAUCCUUCAAGCAUCUGUGGAUAGCCAGGAUUCCUCUUAAUAUAAGAUCAAAGUAUGGUUAUACUGAUCUGGCACAAUGCCAGUGCUACGGAAGAUAGUAUGAGAAAACGCAAAUGGACUGGUGAUUGCACUUGUCAAUUUUGUGAUGAAAAUAAGGGCAUCCAUCGUUAAAUCUUUACUUGUUCUGCUGCUGUUUAUAUGUGGAGCAUUAUUUGCCGUGCUCUGGGUAUUUUUUUUAUAGACGUGUUUGUUUUACACAAUACUUCUGGUGGGCAGCGAAGAACAUUCUGCUAGCCGCUAGGCCCUAACCGUCAUGUGGUGGGCAUUGCAGCCUUUUGCUGGGUGUUGUGGAAAACUCGUAAUAACAAGUUAUAUCAGCCCUUGUUGAUCUAAUUUGUUAAAUGUGUGCUUCCCUUCCUGUUUGGACAGGAAUACAGAAUGAUGGUGCGGCGAGCCUGCAACAUAUUGCUGUGAGAGCUCAUGAGGCUGUGCAGGCGGCUUCUUUGCAUGGCCAGUCCAGUAUCGAUGAAGCUGAAGGUGAAGUCUGCGGAUGCCCGAGUGACUGUGUUGCUGAUUGUCACUUUGUUGACAUGCUGUUGCACCAAUGAUAAUUAGUUUCUUAUUCUGAUAGUGUUGUUGAUUCACCUGGUACCAAUCUAGGGUUGUCCACUGUCAGGGAGAACAUUAUCACCAUCAAUCUACCUUCAUUAUAUAGCUAUAUGAAAAGGACUGAUCCCACUUUGAAUCCCUUGAUAA